rnacentral:lncRNA from 1 species
UCUAAGAGGUAAGAUCAAUCCUUCCUUGCUUGAUCUGCAGCAUUUAAGAUAUUUAGACCUCAGUGACAAUCAAUUUGAAGGAAGUAUGUUCCCGAAUUUAAAUGGCUCACUGAGUAAGUUAAGAUACUUAAAUCUCAAUCGAGCUGGAUUAAGUUCAACAAUACUCAAUCAGCUUGGGAAUUUGUCAGAAUUGCAGUUCCUUGAUCUUAGCUACAAUGAUUACAAUAUUUCCAACCUUGAUUGGCUUCAUGGUCUUUCUUCUUUAAGACAUCUUAACCUUAGUGGGAACAACCUUACUGAUGAUAAUGAUUGGCCGCAACUACUCAACAUGCUUCCUUACCUGGAAGACUUAAAGUUGAGAUGGUGUAUGCUGCCGAGAAUCCUUUCUCCACCUUCCCUCACUAAUUCUACAUCAUCGUCACUUUCCAUUGAUCUCUCUGAAAACAAUCUUACUUCUUCCAUGUACCCAUUGUUGUUCAAUAUUACAAGCAAUAUUGUUUAUCUUGAACUUUCAUAUAACCUGUUAGGUGGCUCAAUUCCAGAGUUUUUCGAGAAUAUGAUCUCUCUUAAAUAUCUUUAUUUAGGGGGAAAUAACCUUGAAGGUGAUAUUCCGAAAUUCCUUGGCAACAUCUGUACUAUUGAAACAUUAGACCUUUCGAACAACAACUUCAGUGGAUCAAUCGUCGCUGGGUUUUUUGGGUGCUUAAAAAAUUCAUUGCAGAUUUUGGACCUAUUUGGAAACAGCUUUCAAGGUCCAUCAAUGUUACCUUAUAUCGUAAGAUUUUCUUCGUUAAGAGAGCUUGAUCUCUCAUCUAAUAGAUUAAAUGGCUCCUUCUCAGAGAGCUUUAAUUUUAAAGAACCUUCCAAGCUUGCUGUCUUGUGGUUGUGGGGAAACCAACUUACAGGAACGUUACCUGAUUUCACAACACUUUCUUCCUUGAAAGAUUUAAGUAUUGGUGGUAACCAAUUAAACGGGACUAUUCCUGAAAGUUUGGGAUGCUUAUCCGAGCUUGAAAAUUUGGAUGUUUUUCGGAAUUCUUUUGAAGGUGUGAUAUCUGAAACACUUUUCAAAAAUCUCUCCAAAUUAAAGUUUCUUGACUUAUCGGAUAACCAUUUGGUUGUGAAUUUCAGCUCCGUUUGGGUUCCCCCUUUUCAGUUACAACAAAUUUUUCUAUCCUCUUGCACAUUGGGGCCUCACUUCCCAAAAUGGCUUCAAACUCAAAAAGAAUUUCAACAUCUUGAUAUCUCUGGGGCUGGAAUUUCGGGUACUAUACCUGAUUGGUUUUGGGACUUACCUCCAUACUUAUUAUCUUUAAAUCUCUCUCAUAACCAAAUGACUGGCAUGCUACCAGACUUAUCAUCACUCAAGUUUAAGGAAUUUCCUGGAAUGGAUUUAAGUUUUAACAUGUUUGAGGGUCCGUUGCCAGUGCUUCCUUAUAACAUGACAUCAAUAAUUCUUGUGAAAAAUAGGUUUUCAGGAUCAGUUUCUUCAUUAUGUAAGAUUGCAGCUGGGACUUUGAGCAUUCUUGAUCUUUCUGAUAACCUAUUGUGUGGAGUGCUUCCUGAUUGCUUUUUUCACUAGCAAAACCUUAUUGUUUUGAAUUUAGCAAAUAACAACUUCUCAGGGGUUAUUCCAACAACUGUGGGAUCGUUGUUGUCAAUUCAUACAAUUAGUUUGCGCAAUAAUAGCUUCUCUGGAGACUUACCUUCUUCUUUGAAAAAUUGCAAUCGGCUGUCAUUUUUGGAUUUAAGCGAGAAUAUGUUUUCUGGAAGUAUACCGGCCUGGAUAGGAGAAAACUUGUUAUCUUUGAUUUUUUUGAGUCUACAAGCUAAUGAGUUUUAUGGGAGGAUACCUUCCAAUUUAUGCCAAUUAGCAAAGAUACGGAUUCUGGACCUCUCCCAAAACACUCUCUCUGGAGCAAUACCAUUGUGCCUUAAUAAUCUGACUGCCAUGGUUCAAAAAGGAGAUCCAGAUGGUAUUAUCGAGCAUAAUUAUUGGUAUUCAGUGGAAGGAAAUAAAUCUUUCUGGGGAGACUCCUACGUUGAAAAGGCAUGGGUUGGAUGGAAAGGAAUGAAGUACGAGUAUGAAAGAAGUCUUUUACUGUUUAGAAUCAUUGAUUUCGCAUGCAACAAAUUAAAUGGAGAAAUUCCAGAUGAGAUAACAAGACUUUCUGAAUUGGUUGUAUUGAACUUAUCAAGGAACAAUUUGAUAGGACUUAUCCCUAAAAACAUUGGUCAAUUGAAACAAUUACAAUCUGUUGAUUUGUCAUACAAUCAUUUGUCGGGGCCAAUCCCUGACAGCAUGGCUGAUCUAAAUUUUUUGAGUUACUUGAACCUGUCAUAUAAUAACUUAUCAGGAAAAGUUCCAACGGGUACUCAACUCCAAUCCCUUGAGGCUUCAGCCUUUAUGGGAAAUCAAGCACUGUACGGGCCUCCAAUUACACAACAGUGCCCCAAAAAUGACACGUUUCAACCUCAACCACCUGAAGAAGAGAGGGAUGAAUUCAAUAGAUGGUUUUAUGUUGGAAUGGGAAUCGGAUUCUUCAUGGCGUUUUGGGGAGUUUUUGGCACUCUACUGUUGAAGCGUUCUUGGAGGCAUGCAUAUUUUCGACUCUUGGAUAACUGGACGGACUCACUGUACGUGACAUCCAUGCUGUCGAGUGCAAGAUUGGUAAGGAAGUUCAAAAGUUAGAGACUACUAAGUUUCUACUAAAGGUCAGCAAACUUAACGUUUUCAUUGAAAUAAAUAUAUUUAUACAUGUUUUAUUGUCUUCUAUUAAAGCACUCAACCAAGCUCAUCAUGGUGGAUAAUGUUUAAUAAAUGGUUUCAAUUUCGAACAUGUUCAGGCAAAAUUCUACUUCAUGAAUCUGUAGACUAGGUAUAUACAUUGAAGUUAAAUUUUUAAUUAAAACCAUUCUAUUUAUAAGUUUAAUCUGAUAGCAAGAAUAAAUGAGAACUAUCUUGGAAUUCAUACUCUCUGAUGUGAAUUCUGUCUUUCUUCUAACUGUUGAUUUCACUAUUUUUUGAGAAAUUGUUGCAGCAUUAAUGACUUAAAAACAAUUGAUUUGUCAGGUUAACUAUCAUAGUUGUAGCAGUAUCAGAGUUGUGAACUAUGGAUUCAAAAAGAUAAAGAACGUGGCAUGCAGACAUAGCUCCAGAUUGGGACAAAAUGCGUUGUCUCUUGAUGAAUAGUCUGCUUUUUUUUCUGUUUUGAGAAGGAUGAAUAAAUAUGCUUUGAAAUUAUCUUCUUGUCUAUGCAUGCUUAUCUACUUGUUGAUGCACGAAUUCUGAAGAAAACUUUGUGCAAAGUUUUCAGUUUGUUUGAAGACAUUACAUGUUCUUCUCUUAUUACCUUUAUAUAUUGAUGUAUUUUCAAUCCUUUUGAGAGAAAUAUAUAAUCUUUCUUUACAAAAUCACUUUAUAAUUGGAUGUUGAUUAUUACCAUUUGAGAUAUCAUCAACCUUAAAUUUUUUUUAAUACAUAAAAAAAAGUUCAAGGAGAGAGUGAAUUCGGAUAGUGGACCUUAUCCCUCUUAAGGAAGGAUAAUAAGUAAUAACUAGCGGAUAAUCAGGAUAUUUUCGUGACUCAAUUAAUCCCAUCUUGCUAUAAUACAAUUAUUCUUCUUAAUAUCAUAAGUUAUAUAAUUUGUUUAUGCUACAGAAACAUAAAUUAGGACUAUGGCAAAAUGAAUGUCUUUGUAUGCUUAUAAUCUUGCUAAUCUAUAGAUUGUGCAAACUUUGUUUAAUACUAAUGACAUUGCCUGUUUAUAUGAUGGUGGUAGAAUUUGAUCCAGAGAUUGACAUUCCCUGUUCUCCAGCAACUAAAAGAAAUAAAAAAAGGCACUUUGUAAGAUACAAAUGUGCAUAUAUGACAUCUAAAGUCAGUAUAGAUAGAUACUACGUAUGUAGGCAUGAAAGCUACAUCUUCCCAUUCAUGUAUUUGAUGCAUGGAUAAGCAAAGAGAGUUUGCCUCAUACAAACCAAAAAAAAAAAAUACAUGAGCAGAAGACCCAUAAAACUACCAAAAGAAACCAACCUACUUGCUAUAACAACAAAAUAGAUUCAGGGAGAACAUUACAAAGACAAAAUCCCAUCACUGUUCUUUCCAAAUCCUUCCUGCCACUCUAGGCUUCAAUUCUUUCCGGUCUCCCCCUGAGAAGAACAAAGCCAUGUUACGUUGGAUGAUGAGACCAUCAAACUGUCACGAACCUUCCUGUGAUUGUCCCUUAUGCUCCUGGGCACCCCUUGCCAAGUCAUCUUCCUCCCAUUCCCACCUACCUCGAGACUGUAGCUAUAGUUCUUUGCCUCAUCAUCGUCACCCCUAAACCGCAAGAAUGCUAUAUAAACAGAAGCCAUCCCAAGCUGGAAUGCUUCGAAGUGCAGGCAAAAGUGUUGACCAAAGCAACUGAAAACCUAAAAAUUGAGAACAGAAAUCCAACUAUCGGUGAGAUACACCUCACAAAAUCUUUAAAUAAAAUCUAAAAUAACAAGGUUAAGUCUAUGAAUAUCAUUGUGCCACAUCAAAUAACAAAAAGAAGCAUAAUCUCUUAUCCAAAAAUAAAAAAAACAACUUAGUAACAGUCUUCAAUUCUGUGUGGCAAAGCCACUUUAUUACUUUUACUCUUUUAGAUUUAAGGAUUUUUGAGAAUGAAGUUCUGGAAAAUCAGAGAAGAACUCAAAGAACAGAGGAGUAAAAAAUGAAGAAAGGGAAAAUUUCUGAACGUGGAUAAUAUACACGCUUCAUCUUGAGCGGGAGUGUUGAGCAUUGAAGAUGAUAUUUAAGGAAGAGUCAAGCCCCUGCGUACCUGUACAUUGAAGAAGGAUCGGGCAUGAACAGAGCAUUAGGACUCCUUGUGACUAAGAGAAAAGGGGGGUUAAUAGGACACGUGUAAUAUUUAUAUAGGAUGAGUAAAUAUAGAAUUUACAGUUUACUAGUUCCUUUUACUGUAUAGUAAAAAAAUUAGUUGUUAGUUUCAUUUGUUAAUUGUAGCUUAUUCCUAUUGCCUAUUGUCUGUACAUAAAUACACUUGUACUAACUGUUUCAAUACAAGAAAAUUCAUUUCAUUCUUCACUGAUUCAUUUCACGAUCCUGAUUUUAUCAAUCAUGUUGAAGUCCUCUUUUCCACAGUCGCUCCCAUGGGCAGCCGCACCAAUCAACUCAGAAGCUGUACUCAAAAGUAGCUCAUAAAUAUCCUAACCUUAUUCCAAACCUCAUAUAAAAAAAUUACUACCACCUUGACCUUGUCCUAUGAAUUGUUAGAGUUUGAUAUCAACUAUUUACAAUUUUUUCUAUUUUAUUCAAAUUAUUAGUGAUUAAAAUUAAAAACAAAGUAUUCCUUAAAAAUUUCCAAAUGAAAUUAUUACUCCUUCAUAUUAAAUAUUUGAUUAUGUUAUAAUUAUGAGCUUAUUGUAAAAGUUAUAGGAAUAAGAGGCAGAAAAGAAGUAAUUAAGAAAUGGUAUUAGAAAAAUAAAUGGAGUGAAACCGGUAGGAAUUUGUUGCAAAGAAGAUUCUCGAGAGUCAUGAAGAUGUCUCGUUUUGAUUGUUGGACUAACAAAAUGGUGGUGUGUAUGUAAAUAGUUAUACUCUGUUUAGUAUUUCUAUUCUUGUAAUUUUGUCAGAUAGUGCUGUUCAUUGUGGUGUUAAUAUUCAUUUGUUCUUGCACAUAUAUUGCUGAAACUGUACAGCAUGAGAUGAUGAAAAACAUACAGAGGAAAUCUUCUUCCCAAAUGGCCUUUUCUCUCGAUUUUUCAUAUGGUAUCAAAGCCCUUGGGAUUUUUCAUUGAAUUUUUUGCUCAGAUCCAUUUGAUUGUCUGAUUCUCUUCUUUCCCAUUUCUUAGUAUUUAAUUUGUUUUUUUUAUUUCCCCUAAACACUUCAUCCCUCAAAUCUUUCAAUUGAUUCAUCCCUCAAAUACAUUCAAUACACACUUGAAUCCUACUUUUGAUCACUGAUUCAAGAAAAUGGUAGAUUCAAGCAGUGAUACAGCCAAGACCUUAGCUACCUCAAAAUCAUUGGUGUCCCCAACAUAAGUCCCAAGGCCACCCUAUUUUCUACACCAUUCAGACCACCUUGGGUCAGUGGUGAUAAACCCCAAGUUGAGCUCCAACAACUAUGUCUCUGGGAACCGAUCCUUCACUCUAGCUCUCUCGAUCCGAAAUAAAAAUGGUUUCAUUGAUGGAACUUUGCCAGAACCAGAUUCAUCUGAUGAGAUUCACACUGCUUGGUCUCGCUGCAAUGACCUUAUUGUAGCAUGGCUUUUGGAAUUAAUUACACAACCCAUAGCCUCAACCGUGUUUUACAUGAGCUCUGCUUACUAGAUCUAGGAAACAUUGAAGGAGAGGUUAAGCCAACCUGAUGAUGAUCAUAUAUGCAACCUUCAGUACUGCCUCGACGAUGUCACUCAAGGUACAAGGUCUGUAGAUGUUUAUUUUACAGAGCUCAACAGUUUUUGGGAGGAGUUAUGCAAUUAUAGGCCAUUACUUCACUGACUUUGUGGUACUUGUAACCCAAAAUGUUUUCAAUCCUAUAAGGACCAGAUUGAAAAAAAAAAGAAAAUACUAUAUUCAGGUUUUUAAAUGGGUUAAAUGAAACCUACUCUACCUUAAGGUCCCAGAUAGUAAUGUUGAAACCAUUUUCAAACUAGAAUGAGGCUUACAAUCUCAUAAUAAGGGAGGAAUUCAAUCAUUGCCCAAUCUUGAAUCUUUUGCCAUGGUUGUUGCACAAGAUACAAAGAAGAAGCAAAGACUUGAUGUUGUAUGUGCACACUGUGGUAAGAAGGGCCACACAAAGGAGAAGUGUUAUAGACUGAUUGGAUUCCCAAAUGAUUUCAAAUUCACUAAAAGUAAACCUGGUCCAAAGAGAGGAAAGGCACUAGUUAAUAAUGCGAUGUAUACUCCUUAAGAUGAUGAAUCAGAAGAAAUGCCAAUCAAUUCCACGCUGCCUAUGUCUUUCACUAGGAAUCAGUUCAACAACAUUCUGGCACUAAUCAAUAAACUUGCUGCAAACUUUGAUGAUGGUGGACAGGCCUCAACAAAUCAACAAAACAGACCCAUUUUUUGUCAAUUCAGUGUUGGCUAGUAUACUUUCUCAUCCAUCUUAUUCAUUUAAAUUUCAUAAUGAUCUCAAUUUUCAUGAUAAAAAUGAUACUUGGAUUAUUAACACGAGUGCAAGUGAUCAUGUAACUUGUUCCACUAAGAUUUUUAUUUCCUCUAAGCCUGUUUAUCAAAAGUAUGGUCAUCUACCAAACAAAGUCAAGGUGCUUGUAUCACAUAUAGGGUCAGUUAAAAUAAACUCAAGGUUUUGUCUUACACGAUGUUUUGUGUGUACCCUCAUUCAGCGUCAAUCUUAUCUUUGUUAGUAAGCUAACAAAUACAAAGAAUUUUUAUCUCUUGCUUACUGAUGCACACUGUGUAAUUCAAGAUAUCAAGUCAUGGAUAGUGAUUGGGCUUGCUAAAGUGACAACAGGUCUAUACCUCUCACAAGAUAGCUAUAAGGCACAAUAUUUAGAUAAAUUCAAUAUUGAGAAGGUUGUUAAUUCUGUUUCUACUAGUUUUCUUAGUUUUGUGAACAAUUGUGAAUCAACAUUAGUUUGUUCUGUUUCUAAGGAUUUUUAUAAAAUAGUUUUUACUUGUACAAGAGCUCCUAGCUAUUUUGACCUUUGGCAUUAUAGAUUAGGGCAUGUCUCUUUAAAUAGGAUAAAUCUAAUAGGAAAAAUUGUUCUGAAGUUCUGUUGUGAAAAUUGCCCAAGAAUCAACAAAGAUAAAAUCCAGAGAAAAUAAGCAAACAGAAAAACACAAGAAUUUACGUGGUUCGGCCUCUUGCCUACGUCCACGGAGUGAAACUGUUCUUCUAUUAUUGAGAAUUUAAAGUACAAUAAAUUGACCUUUAUGGUUCCCCAAAACAACCCAAUAUCCCUUGCACACUCUUCCUCAAUAACCUCUCAAGAACAUUCACUCAAACCACUCUAGCUCCACCUAGAGCAAAAGAUAGAGUUACAAGAUGUUCCCUCUCUAGAGCUCUCAAAGCAUUACUUACAAUUCUAAAGUCUAGAAAUCCACUUUUAUAGUAUAAAAGUCUAAAGUAGAAUGUGAUUAGGAUUCAAUGUGGAAUAAGAAGUUUAAAAACCAUACAACUACUUAAUAUUGUAUACAAACAAAAAUCCUAAUCAAAUAAGAUCUAGAAUUCUAGUCAACCCAAAACUCAACAAAUCUCUACCUUUGACUUGAAUUCAAACUCUUUAAACCUCUUCCACUAGUCGCACCUAAUUGCAACUUCCUAACUCCACCUACUUUUCAACACCUUGAACAACUCUCCAAGCAUAAGAUUUUCUAAAUCAUUGACCUUUAUAAUUGCCACGACUACACAUACCGAAUCAAGCAUGGUCCAACACUUGAUUCCACAAAACGGCCAAUGCACCUGUGUAGCCGUCAAGUCAAUGGCACUAAUUGACUUCGGAAAGGGACCUCGACAACCCUUCCAAUUCACUACUGGCAAGAUUUUUCAUCCUUUCACCAUCGUCUACACCAUGGGAAACUUUCAUCACCUCCUCAGCAAAUGAAAUCUCACUUUGGUAGCUACCAUCCCCUGUGCACUGUUCCCAUCCUUUCAAGGCCUCACAUUCUAGACGAUACAAGCCAUUAUGCAAAUUUCCCCUCAUCAGGACCAUGUCGCCUUAUGUGACUUUUACUACUCCAUCACAAUCAGAAUAUUCAUACCCUUUGGAGUCUAACGGGCUCAAUGAUAUUAGAUUCUUACACAUCCUUGAAACAUAAGUCACACCACCCAAAGAGUGCACAACCCCAUCAAACAUUUUGAUUUUCACCACUCCAAUACCCAUGACCUUCACUAUUGACUUAUCACCCAAAGUCAAAUUCCCAGCCACCCCUUCUUGUAGUAAAUCAAAACAAUCCUUUUGAUAACAUAUGUGAGUAGCAGAAGCAGAAUCUAAAUACUAAUAAGAAUUUGCAUCCAUAUUUCUGAAAUUGUAAGGACAUUACAAUCAUCACCUUCAGCAACGAAAGCACACUCACCUUUGUUCUCGUUACUUUCAUCCCCUUUUGUAGGACAAUCCCUUUUAAUAUGCCCAUACCCUUUGCAUUUAAAGCAUUGAACAUUGUUGGAUCUAGACUUGCCACCCUUAGAUCCCUUACUAGUUGACUUUCUCCUAUUAGCCUUAAUUACUAAUGCCAAGCCAUUUGGAUCUCUAUCCCCUUUUUUACUUUUUUUUGGGCUUCACGAGACAUUACGUUGCUUGUGCUUGUUCUAACGUUAUUGUAUCCAUUCCACAUAUAAGAGAUUCCACAAAUACCUCAUAGGAGUUUGGAAGCGAAGCUAGGAACAAUAGUGCCUUUUCCUCUUCCUCCACCUUGACAUCAACCUUCUUCAACUGAUCAAUGAUCCCAUCAAAUUCAUUCAUAUGCUUCAUGAGGUCUCCAUUCUUCUCCAUCUUUAAGCAAUACAACUUUCGCCUAAGCUGCAACUUGUUAGAAAGACUUUUCGUCAAGUAAAUUUUCUCUAACUUUGCCCAUAAUCUUAGAGCAGAAUCCUCAUCAAUAACAUGAUUAAACACAUUAUCUCCAAUGCAAAGCCGAAUAGUGCUCACACACCUUUGCUUCAACUAUGCCCAUUCAACAUCCUUCAUGUCAUCUGGUUGCCCUUCCUCAUUUCCUAGCAAGGGGCGCAUUAAACCUUGCUGUACAAGGAGAUCUUUCAUCAUUCUUUACCACUGCGUGAAACUAGUCUUACCAUCAAACUUCUCAAUUGAAAAAUUCGUAGNACAUCACCCUUCUUCAACUGAUCAAUGAUUCCAUCGAAUUCAUUCAUAUGCUUCACGAGGUCUCCAUUCUCCUUUAUCUUUAAGCGAUACAACUUUCACCUAAGCUGCAACUUGUUAGAAAGACUUUUCGUCAAGUAAAUUUUCUCUAACUUUGCCCAUAAUCUUAGAGCAGAAUCCUCAUCAAUAACAUGGUUAAACACAUUAUCUCCAAUGCAAAGCCGAAUAGUGCUCACACACCUUUGCUCCAACUCUGCCCAUUCAACAUCCUUCAUGUCAUCUGGUUGCUCUUCCUCAUUUCCUAGCAAGGGGCGCAUUAAACCUUGCUGUACAAGGAGAUCUUUCAUCCUUCUCUGCCACUGCGUGAAACUAGUCUUCCCAUCAAACUUCUCAAUUGAAAAAUUCGCAGAACUAGUAACUUUCGACAUCUUUGUUGAAUCUUGAAUUUACCGAACCUGAAGCUCUGAUACCAGUUUGUUAUGAAAAUUGCCCAAAAAUCAACAAAGAUAAAAUCCAGAGAAAAUAAGCAAAAAGAAAAACACAAGAAUUUACGUGGUUCGGCCUCUUGCCUACGUCCAUGGAGUGAAACUGUUCUUCUAUUAUUGAGAAUUUAAAGUACAAUAAAUUGACCUUUAUGGUUCCCCAAAACAACCCAAUAUCCCCUGCACACUCUUCCUCAAUAACCUCCCAAGAACAUUCACUCAAACCACUCUAGCUUCACUUAGAGCAAAAGAUAGAGUUACAAGAUGUUCUCUCUCUAGAGCUCUCAAAGCACUACUUACAAUUCUAAAGCCUAAAAAUCCACUUUUAUAGUAUAAAAGUCCAAAGUAAAAUGUGAUUAGGAUUCGAUGUGGAAUAAGAAGUUUAAAACCAUACAACUACUUAAUAUUGUAUACAAACAAAAAAUCCUAAUCAAAUAAGAUCUAGAAUUCUAGUCAACCUAAAACUCAACAAGUUCAAUGUGCUAAUGAUUUGCCUUGUGAAAUCUGUCCAUUAGCAAAGCAAAAACGUUUACCUUUUCCUAUUCAUGUUCAAAGCUCAAAAUGUGCAUUUGAUUUAGUGCAUGUAGAUAUCUGGGUCCAUAUUUCACACCAACAAUUAAUGGUCAUCGAUAUUUUCUCACAAUCGUGGAUGAUUACAGUCAUUUCACAUGGACUUCUCUUAUGCAUGCUAAAGCUGAUACAACAGAUUUAAAACAAUCUUUUUACAACAUGAUAUUAAAUCAAUUUGGUAAAUCCAUUAAGCAAUUAAAAUCCGAUAACGGUAAGGAAUUUAAACUAGUUGAAUUUUAUUCUUCUAAAGGAAUUAUGCAUCAACUGUCGUGUGUAGAUAGACCGCAGUAGAAUGGUGUAGUUGAAAGGAGCCACCAACAUCUAUUAGUAAUUGCUAGAGCUUUACUUUUCCAAUCCUGUUUGCCUUUGAAAUUUUGGGCUGAUUUAGUACUUUGAGUAACCCACAUUAUCAAUCGAAUCCCCACACCACUUUUAAAGAAUAAAACUCCAUAUAAGAAAUUAUUCCAAAAACUACCUUCCUAUUCACAUUUCAGGAUAUUUGGUUCUCUUUGUUUGGCUAGCACUCUAUCACAUAACAGAAAAAAAAUUUUACCCUAGAGCUGUCAAAUGUGUAUUUCUAGGAUACGCAACAGGAAUUAAGGGAUACAAGUUAUAUGAUUUGAGCACUCAUAAAGUUUUUAUAUCCAGGGAUGUCAUAUUUCAUGAAAGUAUUUUUCCCUUCCGACAGCCAACACAAACUCUCAACAAAGAAUUAUUCUCAUUUCCUCAAACACCUUGUGAACAUAAUUCUGUCACAAAUGAUCUCAAUAUCAAUACUAAUCAUUAUUUAGAUUUUGAUGUUCCUAUUCACGAUUAUAAUCUUGUUGAUCAAUCUCUUUUUUCAGCAGAUAUUAAUCAUGACAUAAAUCAUACAAGUCCAUCAAAUUCAGAAUCAGUUUCCAAUAUAGACAUAGUUUCAUCUACUUCAAAUAUAUCUAAUUCUUAUGAUGAACAUCCGAUUAUCUCUAGUGAUAAUCAUGAAAAUGAUCCACCAAGGAGAAGUGAUAAGAUAAGAAGACCUCCAAAAUACUUGGAGGCAUAUCACUGUAAUUUAUCAUCUGCAUCAUCACACAAUGUUACUAAAUAUCCCAUGCAAGAUUUUUUAUCUUCCAAUUUAUUGUUUGAUUCUCAUAGAGCCUUUAUUGUUUCUUUGUCCCAUGUUGAUGAGCCCAAAACAUAUCAUCAAGCAAUUCAGUUUGAUCAUUGGAAGAAUGCCAUAAAAAUAGAACUGGAUGCCUUAGAAGACAAUGGCACAUGGAGUGUGGUACCAUUACCUUCAGAUUCAUAUUCUAUUGGCAACAAAUGGAUAUAUAAAGUAAAGACGAAUGCUGAUGGCAGUGUAGAAAGAUACAAAACUAGGUUGGUGGCUAAAGACUAUAAUCAACGAGAAAGCUUUGAUUAUCAAGAGACGUUUAAUCCAAUGGCUAAACCGUCUACUGCUAGAAUUUUUUUAGCAAUAGCAGCAUUGAAAAAUUGGCAUCUCUCACAUCUUGACAUCAACAACACUUUCUUAAAUAGGGACCUUGAUGAUAUUGUUUACAUGGAUUUGCCUCAAGGUUGUUAGAUUAAGGGGGAGUAUCUUACUGGUGUGAAACUUGUCUAUAAACUACACAAAUCACUCUACGAACUCAAACAAGCGUCACGACAGUGGAAUUGUAAGUCCACUAAGGCAUUACUACUUUAUGAUUUCACACAAUCAAAAUUAGAUUAUUCCUUGUUGACUUAGACAACUGAAAACAAUGAUUUUGUGGGACUACUUGUGUAUGUUGAUGAUAUAGUAAUAGGAAGUUCCUUUGUGAAGGUUACAAACGAUAUCAAGCAAUAGCUUAGUUCCAAGUUUAAGUUGAAGGAUCUAGGAUGUAUGAAAUAUUUUCUUGGUCUAGAAGUAGCAAGGUCAAAUACUGGGAUUACAAUCUGCCAACGAAAAUAUACUCUAGAUUUAAAGGAGGAGUAACCGAACUUUAGAGAGAAAGAAAGAAGAAGAAAGGAAAAAGGAGUGGGGGAACAUGGACAAGAAACUUGUCAUUGUCGGCCCCACCAUGAAGCCAUAUCAAAUACAACCUCUCUUUGUCUCUUUCAUUUUAUCCUUAGCCAUUUAGGGAGAAAAAGAGAAAGGCAGAAAGAGCCGAAAUGUGAGAGAGAAAGGAGGAAGUGUCACGGGUUGAAGGGAGAAUUUCUUGGGUGGUUGCAACCGGUCUUGAGGGGAGAAAUAGAGAAGAAAGGAAGCCAUUUAUGGAGCUAAAUAAAAAAGGGAAAGGAACUUAUUUUUGAGAGAGGAAAUGGAGGCCUUGUGUUGUCGAUUUUAGAGAGGAAAGAGGGGCUUCUUGCUGUCGGUUUUUGAGAGGAAAAAAAGGCCUUGUGUUGCUGGAUUUUUGGGAAGGAAAAUAGAGGAAGCUGGGCUGUUAUGGUGAUCGGCGGUGAGAGUGAAAGUAGAGAGCUUGCUGUCGGCGUUGGUAGUGAAGGAGGAAGGAUGAAGGCUGCAGUAAAAAGGAUGAGAAAGAGAUCGGGUGAAGGGAAGGUAAUGGGGGCAUAAAGAAAAAAAAACAUAAUAAUAAUAAAAUAAAAAUAUAAAAUAAAAUAAAAUNGAGGAAGGAUGAAGGCUGCAGUAAAAAGGAUGAGAAAGAGAUCGGGUGAAGGGAAGGUAAUGGGGGCAUAAAGAAAAAAAAACAUAAAUAAUAAAUAAAAUAAAAUAAAUAAAAUAAAAUAAAAUAAAAGUAAAGUAAUAUAUAUAUAUAUAUAUAUAUAUAUAUAUAUUAAUGGGGUUUCAAUGUAUAGAAGAAAUAAGUAACGGUGGAACACUGUGGUGGCAGGCCGAAGAAAAAUAACGAAUGGCCGGUAGGAGGGAAUAACUAGAUACGUUUACGAAUUAAUAGUGACGUAACAUCCCGCUAUUGUGAGGUGAGUAGGGAGUGUCCAUUUUAAAAUUUUCAUAAAUAUAUUCUUAUAUGUAUUAUUUAUUUUAAACGCGAAAAUUGUGGAUAGCAUGUGCUGGUAGCAAUUUUAGGGAAUUGUGAAUGCAAAUUAUGUUUAGAAAUCGUUUUGAAUAUAUAUGUAUAAAUUAUAUGUAAAGUGUUUUCAAAAUGGGAAAACAAGUCCUUCGCACUGUUUUGCCUUAAAAUCUGUGCUUUAUAUUUGUGCAGUGUGCAUCCAUGAUUAUAAUGCUCAUUCACCAUGCGAGUUAUUGUUUCGAAAUUCAUGCAUAAAUUUUAUUUUAUGAAAAUGAUAAUAGAUUUUAUCAUACCUUGUGUUGAAUACUUUGAAAAUAAUUUUGAGACGAGCUUUUAAGAACAUAACACAAUUUCAAAAUGGUUUUACAAAUCGAGAGAUUGGAGAGUAGGCCGGUUGUCACUUCGGUUAAGUGUGACCCUCGUGCACGAGUGAGCUCUAGCAAGAAAACCAUUAGGUCACCGACGGGCGGUUAGGCGUGGUUGGGGCCACGGCCUGUGAUAUAUGUAUGCGUGGCUAGGCCACCAAAUGAUUAUGCGGUUGCGACCGUUUGAUUCUCCGAUGUCGGCCAACAUCGUGAGAUUGCCAUGGCACAUGGGAAUCCGGUGGAAGCAAUGCUCCCGGAUGUUAUUAUGUGGUAGCGGGACCACGGGUUUAUUUUCAUUCCCUACUCGAGAGUGGCAUCUCUAGGUUUUUAAACUCAUAUUUCUUUGCAUGGUGAAAACGAAAUUUAACGGUUUUUCUGCAGCUCCCCUUAUUUUUACGGUAAAAUGAAUUUUAACUCCUCGAGUGCGAGGUGAUUUGUGAUUUACAUAUGUGUUUGAUUAACAUUCGAUUUCAUGGGAGCUUGCCGAAUAUACUGAUUUGAUUUGAGUAAAAUGUCAAUUGAUCUUGACGACGAAAUUUUUUUUAUGUAAAAUUGUUUUAAUUCAAUAUUUCAAAUGAUUGACUUGAAUAAGGUUACUGAUCUGUUUUGUAGUGAAAAUUUUUGUCUACCUUGGUUAAUUUACCAAUUGAAGUGUUUACAAUGUGUAAGAAAUCCUCGGUUUUUCAUACAAGGCACAAACUUUCGUUUGAAAUAAAUUGUUUUUAUAAUCUUGCAUUUUUAAUAUCAACUGAUCUGUUGUUUGCUUGUUUCCCAUCUACUCCCUACUCACGGAGCCGAUGAUCACUGAGUCUGUGAGACUCACCCCCCUUUUUAUUUCCCUUUUUGCAGACAGUGAUCAGCCUAGUGCGUAAUCAUCGAUGCGUAUGGUCCACCGUAGAUAGGUAAAGGCAUCUCAUAGCAUUUUAUCCCGAGUCGCUCCGCUGUUAGAGAUUGAGUUGUAGUACUUUGGUUUUACUAUGUAAACAAAUAUUAGUUUUGAUAAAAACAUAAAUUUUAGAUUCUUGAACUCAAUGUAUUUAAUUGUGAUAUCAUGACUUAAAGUCAAAAUUUAAUGGCUAUGUUUCUUGUGAAAUUUUAAGUUUAAAAAAAAAACUAUAUAUGGUUCAAACAUUAAUAUAGAUUAGUAAAGGUGUACAAUAAGUUAUGGAGAAAUUUCUUUUAGGCUUGUUCGGGACUUGGCGCGAUCUCCCGGAGGUCUCAGACGCUGGUAGCGAUUGAGGAAGGGUCGUUACACUACAAGUUAUAGAUAGUUGAUAGGUAAAUUAAUUUACCUAGUCUUUAGAAGACCAGACAUCACAUAGGCUAUUAAAGUUCUAUCACAGUUUUUAGACAAGCCUGGAAAGUCUCAUUUCUAUGCAGCACUCAGAGUCCUUAAAUACCUAAAGGAUACCUCAGGGUGUGGUAUUUUGAUGUCUUCAUAUUCAGAACCUAUCUUGACAGCUUAUGCAGACAAUGAUAGGGGGAGCUGUCCAGACACAAGAAGGUCUGUUACAGGGUUCAGUAUAUUCCUUGAAAAAUCUUUGAUUAGCUGGAAAGCAAAGAAACAAACUGUGGUAGCUUGAAGUUCAACAGAGGCAGAAUAUAGGUCUAUGCAGCAACACGUUGUGAAAUAUUAUGGUUGUUGAAUUUGCUUAGAGAUUUUGGAAUUUAUCAUUCACAAGCAGUGAAGUUGUAUUGUGAUAACCAAUCUGCCCUUCACAUUUGUAAAAAUCCCACACACCAUGAAAGAACGAAGCAUAUUGAAAUGGAUUGCCAUUUCAUGAGGGAGAAAGUUGCAGCAAAAUUGAUAGCUCUACAAUACAUUCAAACUGAUAUGCAGAUUGCUGAUAUUUUCCCAAAGGCUCUUCAGCCAAAACAAUUUUCUUAUCUCAUAUCCAAGAUGAGCAUGGUUAACAUUCAUAGUUCACCAAGCACCUCUUUAGGGGGAGUAUUAGAAAAUUAAAUGGAGUGAAGCCAGAGAGGAAUUUGUUGCAAAGAAGAUUCUCGAGAGUCAUGAAGAUGUCUUGUUUUGAUUGUUGGACUAACAAAAUAGUGGUAUAUAUGUAGAUAGUUAUCCUCUGUAGGUAUUUUUAUUCUUGUAAUUUUGUCAGGUAGUGCUGUUUAUUGUAGGCUCAAUAUUCAUUUGUUCUUGUACAUAUACUACUGAAACUGUACAGAAUGAGAUGAUGAAAAACAUACAGAGGAAAUAUUCUUUUCAAAUGGCCUUUUCUCUCGAUGGGGUUGCUUUGAUGAAAGUCAAAAAAGAAAGAUAAUUAAGUUAUAUUGUACAUAUUAUUGAAUGUUUACAAGAACCAUUCCACGUUAAGAUGGUAUUGACCAUGCAACUUGAUAUCAGAUAUUAUCAUUUUGCAAGAGCUUACUCAAUUGUUCUGAUCUCAAAGGAUGGCUGAAUAUUUCUUAGCAUUCAAAUCCCAUAAAGCCCCCUUCAAGCUAGUGAAAUAGGCCAAAAUGGUGAGAGAUUAUAAGAUAAUUUUAGUAAUCCAAAUGGAUUAUAAGAUAAUUUUAUUCUCCUUUCCAUGUUAAGUUGCAUAUUUAUUUCACAAAAUAUCUAGUACAUUUAAUUACAGAUUGUUUUCUAAGCAUGAUUAGAUUGCAUAUUUUGUAAUGGACAAUUAAUUCAGAGUUCAGUUUCUUAUAAGGACAUUGCAUGUUUUGUCACCUACUUAACUAUAUGGUUAGAGUAGCUGCACAAUUAUUAAUUAAUACAUUGUAUAUACUUUAGAGUGAAACAUGUUUAAUUCUUUACAGGGUCACUUUACUGCUAUUUGAUAUUUAAUUGUUUAUUUUCAACUACGAAAAGUAUAUAAUAAAGAUUCAUUAAUUAUAAAUAUGUGAUGUUCAUGAAUCUUUAGACAAGGUAUGAGCUCACUGCUUAGUAUGUUCCUUGUAUUAUGAACUUUAGAUUUAAUUUUCAGAAUAGAAAUUGAAAUACUUAAUUAUAUAUUAGUAGCUUAAUGAAACUAUAAAACAAGAGUAAUCCGUUACUGAUCAUAAGUGAGAAUUAAGGAGGAGUUUGUAGUCUUAGUUUUUGACAUGAACAGAUGAUUCCUCUAGAUGUUGUUUUUGUUCUAGCUGUUGAUUUCAUUCACUAGAUUUUGAAAUUGAUUAGAGCUUUAAUGAUUCAGAGACAAUUGAUAUGUCAGGAUAACCAUCAUAGAAAUACCACCAUCAAAGUUUUGGGUAUAAAGUUCAUUGGUUGGUUGAUACAUAACUGGAAUGUUCUAUUUUACACUCCUUGAUCUCAUUAUUCUGUCUUACUCCAUUAUUUUUCAAUUAUAAAAAUAUAAUUAUAGAAUCAUGGUUUGUCCAAAGAUUUGAAGGUAAUGGUAACAUUACAACAAUAUCCCACAAUUCUAAUUAGAUUCAUCUGUAGUGAAUUGCAACUUACAGGAAUGAUUAUAUAUUUUGAGGGUUUUUUACACUUUGUAAUAAAAUUUUUAUUGAUAAUUUUAGAGUUUUGUGAUUUUUAACACCAAAUAUCCUAAGAAUGGAUAUUGGCAACUGAGAGAAAUGGACCAUUGUGCAAGGACUGGUUUGGAAAAGCUUGAGAAGUGGUGAUCAAGUCCUUGAAUAAACUUCAAUUCUUGGAUCAGGAAAUAUGGCUUUCUCAUCAGCCUCACUACUGCAACAAGGUAAAAUAGCAUAAGCAAUCAAUUCAUCACAAACAGAGGUUAACCUGGUUGAAAACAGGGAGAUUAUCAUAGUAAAUUAGGCUGAAAUAGAGAGAUUAUCUUGGUUUGAUAUUCCAAAAGAAUUUGGAUGAAUGAAUUUCUUCUUAUUAAACUGUAAGUAGAACUUUUCAACUACCAUAUUUACUUUUAAGUAGUAAAGUUGUGGAAAACUCAAUAAUUAGAGCUCACUUUAAUGGAUUUCACAAGGCUAAUUUCCCAUUGACAUCGAUUUGGUUACUAAGGAGAGGAAUCAUCUUUCUCGCAUCUUGCAUUAUCAUGAUAUUAAAUUCUCUUCAAAAAAAAAAAGGGCAUGAUAUUAAAUUUGAUUAAUAUUAAGGAAUUGAAUUAAUCUAGAUUUUCUUGUUUUAACUUUAAUUUCUAAAAUUUAUAAAAACAAAACAGUUGUGUCAAGAAUGACUCAAGUAGCUAUUAAAAUGAAAUAAUUGUCACAAGUAGAGAAGAGAUUAUUAUAUUUCCACACAUUUUUCUCAUUUGACCCAUUCUCGAUCUAAAUUUGGGCUAUAAGCUUUGACAUUUCAAAACAUCAAUAGUAGAAUCUACAGUCUAUUGUAACAAUAAUUUUAAUAAUACUUGAACGUUCACUAGGAUGCUUUUAUGAUGGACAUUCAAUUUAUGAUGGAAAAUGUAAUAAUUCAAUGAAUUUAUAAGAAGUAAUGUAGAUCCUUUUAACAUUAUAAGGCAUGAAUGGGAUGCUUUUUUAUACUUUGGUCUUUUUAGACAAAUUUCUCAAUCAACAAUUAUAUGUGCAAGUUGCGACUCUUGGAUAAAUGGACAGACUCGCUGUACGUGACAUUCAUGCUGUGGGGUGCAAGAUUAGAAAAUAUUUGUGUGUGUGUGUGUGUGUGUGUUUAUACAUCACUUAUAUUCAUGCUGUACGUAACAUUGUAGACAUCAAAAUUUUGAAUUUGUUUGGUCAAAUAAAUUUAUUAGGAUUUUGUCUACUUAGAGAUUAGCUGUUUCUUCUGUGAAUUAAUGCUUAUAGAUCAUUUGAUUGAUCAAUUAAAUGAAUAAAGUUUCCGUUUAAUUUGAGAGAUGGCAUGUUUACUGUGUAAAUUAAUUAAUAUGACAUUAACUCUAUGAAAGUUUCGCCACUUGGGGUGACAAAAGAAUAUCUGGCUUGGCUAAUAAAGAUUUCCUCUUAGAGUCACUUUCCAACGCAAUCAAUGGUCAAAACUAUAUAAAAAGGGCAAGGGCAAAUUCAAUUAGCUGACAGUUUGUUAUUUAUUUAUUCAACAACUACAUGUCAUGUCAUGUCAAGAAGGGUUUUAAUUUAUAAGUUUAAAAAUCUAAAAGAAAAUUUAAGACAAAGGACUGUUUUUUUCCUUUUAAGUCUUGUUGAUGGACUGACUAUGCAAAACUUCUGUUUGAAUCCUUUUUAAGUCUGAUACGUAUAUCAUAGCCAGGGGCGGAGCAUAAAAAUUUUGAAAAUUUUUAUUUAAUUAUAUAUAUAUUUUUCAAUGACCUCUUUAAAAUUUUUAAAAUUUUUUAUUUUGAUUCCCUCAAAAUAAUUUUUUAUUAUAAUUAAUACAAAAAAAAAUUAAAAAUCCCUAAAUCCAAAUCCUACUCAAUGUUAUCCUAAUUUAAAUUUUUUUCCUUUAUUUUAACAAUUACAAAUCAUUUAAUAUUGAUGAUAUCUACAAAUUAACAGACCGUUUUUAUUCUCAAAAUUUCACAGAGCAAUAAAGACUUCUUUUGAGGUUACGAUUAAAGCAUUAGGAGCUUCAUAUGCCUCAUCACUAAGGUUUUGAAGAUAUUAAGAUAUUUUCUAAAUUGUGUCAAAGAUUAGCAGAAAUAAGAAAGUAAAAAAAUUACCACUCUUUGUUUUUACUUUUUCGAUUUCUAUAGCAACUACAGAGAGAGUCUUUUUAGCAAUGAAAAUUUUGAAAAUAAGAUUCUGAAACAAAAUGGAUGAUGAGUUUUUUGCAUAAAAUUUAAUUAUUUAUGUUGAGAAAAAUAUUGCUAGCAUCGUCAAUAUAGAGUCAAUAAUUGAUGAAUUUGAAUCUAAAAGACAUCAUCAAGAAUAACUUUCUUAAAAGACUACAGUAAAUAUUUCUUUUCUUAUUUUUUUAUCUAUAUGUUAUAUAAAAAUUAUUAUCCAGUAUGAAUUUUUUUAUUGUUGGUUAAAUUCAACAUAUUGGUUUUAGAAAUUUUUACCCUUUAUUCUUAUUCGUCUUUGACCCCCAACAAAAAUUAACUAGCUCCGCCUUUGAUCAUAACCAUUUAUUUUUCUUUUCUCCACAAGCUUACUUCAUCGCUUCAUUGGUUUCUUUUUCUUUUUCUUCACUGAUUGGUUUGUCCAAUUCUAGACUUGCAAAUGACGCAAGAUUUGGAGACGAUGCUAAAAUCAAAACAAUAUCCCACAAUUCGAACCAGAUUCAUUCUUAGUGAAUUGCAAUUUACUGAGGGCUUUUUACACUUUGUAAUAAACGUUUUGUUGAUAAUUUCAGGGCUUUGUGAUUUAAGUGAUGACAAAUAUUAAGUAUUGAAUGAAUUACAAGCACUUUUACAGAAUUGCUCUGUUCUCAGAACCAUGGCUGAAUAGAUUUCUGGUUAAUCUCAAUUUGGUAAUUUUCUCACAGGAUUAUAGCCAAGGAGGUUAAUCAAGUUAGAAAAAUGAUCCAUUGGGCAACAAUUUCUAUGAACUUCAGGAAACAUGUGUGUCUCAUUAUUGCAGUCUACUUUAAUAAUGACAUCUAUGAAUUUAGAUGAAUGAAUUUCUUUCUUUUUAAACAGUAACAAAGAUAUGAAAACAUGAAAUUGCUAAGCAGAUUAACGGACUAAGUGGAACUUUUCAACUAUCAUUUUGACUUUCAAGUAGUAAAGUUGUGUGGAAAACUCACGCUUUGAAUAAUAAGAUAAUAAAUUCAAUGCCUCUUGACUUGACGCCAAAAGGAAAAAUAAAAAGAGGACAGGUCGGAAUAAUGGAUUGAACUAAACUAUUUCCAGACUCUUUGACAGCCUCUAUAAUUAAACCCAAGAUUGUCUCGAAAUUUCAUUACAAUCAUCCCAAGAAUGCGCGGAAAGUGUAGGUCUUUUCAGAUGCUGCUGAUGUUUCUUUGGCUUUGCCAUAGCAUAACAAUUGCAAAUGGCUUCAACCUAAGUGCCAAAUAAGAUACCACCCGAUGCAAAGAGGACGAGAGACGUGCUCUCCUUAUGUUCAAGCAAAGUCUUGUUGGUGAUUCCGGUCGACUCUCGUCUUGGGGAAGCAAAGAUGGAGAAAAAGAUUGUUGUCUCUGGCGAGGUGUCCGGUGUAGCAAGAGAACAGGCCAUGUAAUCAUGCUCGAUCUUCAUAACUCUCUGACCCUUGAUGUUGGCUUUGAUAUCGCCUAUCAGAAUAAUAGUCUGAGAGGUACGAUUAAUCUUUCAUUGCUUGAACUGCAACAUUUAAUAUAUUCAGACCUUAGUGAAAAUGAUUUUGGAGGAAGUCGGUUUCUGAAUAUUAGUGGCUCUCUAAGGAAGUUAAGAUACCUCGAUCUUCAUGAAACUGGAGUAAGUUCUGCAAUACUGUAUCAGCUUGGGAAUCUUUCUUCUUUAAGAUUUCUUGACCUUAGUUGGAACUACCUUGGUGAAGCCAAGGAUUGGCCGCAGCUACUCAACAAGCUUCCUUAUCUACAAGACUUAAAGUUGAGCGGCUGUAGUCUUCCGAAAAUCCUUUCUCCACCUUCCCUCACUAAUACUACUUCAACAUCAAUUUCCAUUGAUCUCUCUGUAAAUGAUCUUACUUCUUCCAUGUACCCACUAUUGUUCAAUAUUACCAGCAAAAUUGUUGAUCUUAACCUCCAAUAUAACUCAUUACAAGGCUCAAUUCCAGACUUUUUCAAGAACAUGGUUUCCCUUAGACAUCUUGAUCUCUCCCUAAAUCAACUUGGAGGCGAGAUUCCAGAAUUCCUGGGGAACAUAUGUACUUUAAAAGCAAUAGACCUUUCCUUCAAUAACUUUAGUAGAUUCAUUCCCGCUGGUUUGUCUGGAUGCAUACAGAAUUCACUGGAGAUUUUGAGACUACCGUGGAAUAGCUUUCAAGAUUCAAUAUUUUCUUACAUAACAAGAUUUUCUUCUCUAAAAGAACUUAAUCUCUCAGGUAAUAGAUUAAAUGGCUCUUUUCCAGCAAGUUUUAAACGACCUUCGAAGCUUGCGUUUCUAUAUCUGUCGAACAACCAACUCAGAGGUGCUUUACCUGAUCUCACAAAGUUUUCAUCAUUGAAGUAUUUAGAUAUUGGCUAUAAUCAAUUCAAUGGAACGAUGACUGAAAGUUUAGGAUGCCUGUCUGAGCUCGAGCAUCUUAAUGCUUCUUGGAAUUCUUUUGAAGGUGUGAUAUCUGAAGCUCAUUUUGAAAAUCUCUCCAAAUUACAAACACUUGACCUAUCUUACAAUGUUUUAGCUUUUAAUGUCAGCUCCGGUUGGGUUCCUCCUUUUCAGUUACAUCAUAUUUAUCUAUCAUUUUGCAAAUUGGGGACUCACUUCCCAAAAUGGCUUCGAACUCAAAAGGAAUUUCAAGAUCUUGAUAUUUCUGGUGCUGGAAUUUCAGAUACUAUCCCUGAUUGGUUUUGGGACCUGCCUCCAUAUUUAUCUUCUUUAAAUCUCUCCCAUAACCAGAUGAUUGGCAUGCUACCAGACUUAUCAUCACUCAAGAUUAAAGCAUUUCUUGGAAUAGAUUUAAGUUUUAACCUGUUUGAGGUCCAUUGCCAAUCUUUCCAUAUAACUUGACAGCAUUAAUUCUUACUAGAAAUAGAUUUUCUGGAUCAAUUUCUCCUUUAUGUGAGAUUACAGCAGAGGGUUUGACCAUUAUUGAUCUUUCUGAUAACCUAUUGUGGGGAGUACUUCCUGAUUGCAUUUUUCACUGGCAAUACCUCCUAGUUUUGAAUUUAGCUAAUAACAACUUCUCAGGGGGUAUUCCAACAAGUGUGGGAUCAUUGUUGUCAGUUGAAAUAAUUAAUUUGCACAAUAAUAGCUUCUCUAGCGACUUACCUUCUUCUUUGAAAAAUUGCAAUCGGUUGGAAUUUUUGGACUUAAGCGAGAAUAUGUUUUCUGGAAGUAUACCAGCCUGGAUAGGAGAAAAUUUGUCAUCUUUGACUUUUUUGAGUUUACAUUCUAAUGAGUUUUAUGGGAGGAUACCUACUAAUUUAUGCCAAUUAGCCAAUAUACGGAUUCUGGACCUCUCGGAAAACAAUCUCUCUGGAGCAAUACCAUUGUGCCUUAAUAAUUUGACUGCCAUGGUUCACAAUGUAGAUCCGAAUGAUAUCAUUGAACAAUUAUAUUUGUCUUCAGACGAAGGUCAUGGUAUUACUACAGGCUUUUAUAUUGCAAAGGCAUGGGUUGGAUGGAAGGGAAAAAAGUACGAGUAUGAAAGAAGUCUUGGACUGUUUAGGAUCAUUGAUCUUGCAGGAAACAAAUUAGAUGGAGAAAUUCCAGAUGAGAUAACAAGACUUUCUGAAUUGGUUGUAUUGAACUUAUCGGGGAACAAUUUGGUUGGGUUUAUUCCUGAAAACAUUGGUCAGUUGAAACAAUUAGAAUCACUUGAUUUGUCAAACAAUCAAUUGUCAGGGCGAAUUCCUAACAGCAUGGCUGAUUUAAAUUUUUUGAGUUACUUGAAUCUGUCAUCUAAUAACUUAUCAGGAAAAAUUCCAUUGGGUACUCAACUCCAAACCAUUGGUGCUUCAGCCUUUGUUGGUAAUAACGCACUGUGUGGGCCUCCAAUUACACAGCAGUGCUUAAAAAAUGACACAGUUCAAGCUCAACCACCUGAAGAAGAUAGAGAUGAAUUCAGCGCAUGGUUAUAUGCUGGAAUUGGAAUCGGAUUCUUCACGGCGUUUUGGGGAGUUAUUGGCACUCUACUGUUGAAGCCUUCUUGGAGGCAUGCAUAUUUUCGGCUCUUGGAUAAUUGGAUGGACUUGCUGUACAGGACAUUCAUUCGGUGGAGUGCAAGAUUGGAGAGGAAGUUCCAGAGUUAGUGGCUACUAAGUUUCUAAUAAAGGUAUGAGCUUCCCCAUAGUGGAUAAGAUCAAAAAUUUUGUUUCUAGUUUCAAACAUUGUUCAGUCAACCUAUUUCAUGAAUCUAUAGAUAAGGUAUGAGCUCACUAUUUAGUGGAUAAAAAUUCUUAAUGUUAGAUCAGAGUUUAAUGAGAAUCUAAAACUACAUUACAAACUAUUUUAAUUAAUUUAUAAGCUUAAUUUGAUAUAAUUUAUAAUCUUUGGCGAGAGCAAAUAUUCUUUUGAAUACUGUUUUUCUUGUAAUGAUUCAGUGAUAACUGAUUUAUCAGGUUAUGUUGUUGGUAGCUAGCUGUAGCAACGUCGGAGUUGGCAUGUGGCUCUUAUGUACUUGUGGUGAUGUAUUCUGGGUUGAUGUCUCUUACGGCUGUUCGGUUUGGUGAUUUCUUCAGUGUAUGACUGUAUGAUAUGCAGGAGAGAUUUAUGUUAUUCUUUUUUUUUUUUGAAAAGUAGAAAAUUUAUGUUAUCAUUCUGUAUGGCUCUUUUUGUUUACUUUAAAUUUCUUUGAUUGGUAGGUCUUGAUUAGGCUUUGUAUCAACAGCUUUGACACUUAAUAAAAUGAUCAGAUUUGACUGAGAAAGAAAAACUGAUGAGCUAGAUUCAUAGCUUUUUGAUGAAUUCUACUUGCUUUGGCUUAAUUCUAUGACUUGCCCAUGGACUAAUUUGCAAAUUAGUUAUGUUUUAUUGACUAGAGCAUGGGAGAAGAAAAUAAUGGAAUACAGGAGUUAAAUAUGUUUACAAAGAAACAACAGAUUACUUGAAUGAUAGAAAAUCCCCGAAAUCAAGUCUGCCCAAUAGAGAGAAAGUAGUGUAAAUAAAUAAUUGGACAAUACUUUUUUUGUACGCUAAAAGUCUUGUUAAUGCAUCAACCUGAUACAUAAAUCCUUGGAGAGGCUGAACAGAGAACAAAAAAUCCAGGAAUCAAUGUUCCUAAUCCCUUCCACAAAACCUAUUACAACCCCCAAGAUCAACAUAACUCCCAAUACACCUAUAGCAGAACUGAGGCCUUAACCUCCCUCAAGAACAGGUCACCACAUUGUGUUGUAACCUAUUUCUUUUGUUUCCAUUUUCUAUACUAUCCAGAGUUGAAAACCCAAAACAUGUCAUAGUACACAUUUCAUGGCCCGAACAUCAGAAAACACCCACAGCAAUUUUACGGAAAUUACAAUUCACCCAGAAGCACUACAUGCACCCCAACACUUCCAAACCAGAGUAGCAUAAUCAUCCUAUAUUUUUAAAAUUCUAAAAGAAAAUUUAAUUGAUUCAGAUAAAGGAUGCACAAUGAUAAAUUUGUUGUUGGAUAAAGGUCUAAUAAGUGAAAGUGAAAGUGAAAGUCUUUGUGCUUGCCUAGCUUUAUUAGAGAAAGAUGAUUUAUGGAGGACUUGUGUGGACAGCCGUGGCAUAAACAAGAUUACAGUCAAGUAUUGUUUUCCUAUUCCUCAAUUGGAUGAGAUGCUUGAUCAAUUAGUUGGUUCUAAGGUGUUUUCAAAUAACGAUUCAAAGAGUGGAUAUCAUCAAAUUAGAAUGAGGAAUGGAGAUAAAUGGAAAACAACCUUCAAAACACCAGAUGAAUUAUUUGAAUGGUUGGUAUCGACCAUGACAGCAUGUGGAUAUAGACAUCUACAAGGAGCAUGUCAAGGCCUACCCCUCGGAGUCAAGUCUUUUUUUUGACCCGAGCAGAAUGAUGCAGGCACAUAUAGAAUUUUAUUUUAUUUAAUUUAGUUUUUCUAAUUUUAGUUGGUUUAGGAUUUUAUUUUCUUUAUUCUAUUUAGAUUGGCAUUCUUUUCUUAUUUUUAUUAGGAUUUUUAGUACUUUAAGCAUUAUUAUUUAAUUAGGCUAGUCAUCUAUUUAAUAAUAAAAUACUUAUUUUAUUUAAAUCUCUUGUUAGCUACUUUAAUUGUAGUAGACAACUAGACGUAUAGUUUUAUUAGGAUGUGGGCCUAUAACACUCUACGCUUAGCACUCUAAUGAAAUUAGAGUAGGUAGGAAGAGAUUUAAAUAAAAUAAGUAUUUUAUUCCUAAAUAAAAGAUGACUAGUCUAAUCAAAUACUAAUUCUUAAAGUACUAAAAAUCCUAAUAAAAAUAAGAAAAGUAUCCCAAUCUAAAUAAAAUAAAAAAAAUAAAAUCUUAAACUAACUAAAAUUAAAUAAAAUAGAAUUCUAGAUGCGCCUGCACCAUUCUCCUCUUGCCAGAAAAAAGACUCGGGUUCGAUGAAUAGGCCUUAACAUACUCCUUGUAGAUGUUUGGAUCCACAUACUGUCAUGGUCCACACCAACCAUUCGAAUAAUUCAUCUGCUGUUUUGAAGGUUGUUUUCCAUUCAUCUCCAUUCGUCAUUCUAAUGUGAUGAUAUCCACUCUGCCCAACGCCCCAGCGUCACAGACCAUUGCUGUCAUAUGUUUGUAUAAAUGAGAGCAGAGAGUUUGUAUUUGGGCACGACAUGAAGAAAGAUCAGAUUUUUAUCCUUGUGACCUGUUCAGCAUGAGAGGGUACAGUGUGUGAUGUGAAUCCCCAUCAUCUCAACAGCUAUUGAAGGUAUAUUUGUUGCCACAAAAAUCCAAAGAUGCCAUGGACAUCAACAAUACAGCAACAGAAGUAUUUAUUCUGCCUUACUUUUUUGGAUUUUGAUGUACUGAAUCACAGGUGGUUAGCAUCGAAUGCUUAUAAUUAGGAAAAUCAUUUGCUUAGAAUCAGCAUCUCCAGCAACUAAAGGAAUUAAAAUGAAGGCACUUUUGUAUAAUACAAAUGUGCAUAUAUGACCAUCUUCCUAUUCAUGUUUUUUAUUCUAGUAGUCAAUUUCACUUGAUUUCAAGAUUUAUUAUAGCUUUUAAUGAUUCAAAUAAAUUGAUUUACAAGUUUUACUGUGAUAGCUAACUGUAGCAACAUCAGAAUUGUGGACUGUGGCUUUAGAAAAGGAUGAAGGAAAUGGCAGUUGUAGGUCUCUGGAGUAUGAUAAGUGAUGAGCUAGGUUCAUAGCUUUUUGAUGAAAAAUACUAUGCUUUGGAAAAUUAUAUAUCUUCUAGUCAAGGUAUGCCUUAGCAUAUGACUUGCUAAGGGACUAAUUUACAAAUUAGUUUUGCUUUAUUGCUGAUUAUGGGAGAAGAAAAUAAAAUUACAGGGAGUUAAAUAUGUUUGCAAAGAAAGAGUUCAAAAUUUUUUUUAACAUAAAAAAUGAAGUUCCUUAUUCAUGCUCCAAACCAAAAGUCAUAAGUUUUAAUAAAACCAAUGUUUAAGUUUCAUUGACCCACCAUUGUAAAAAUACAAAAAAAAAAAGUUCAAAGAUAAUAACAGUGCUAAAGUUCACCCUAAAUCGAUAACUAGCUCUUUACAAUGCCAAUUCCUACCAUUGUCUAUUGUAAUUGCUCUAUAUUGAGCCUGUUGAGAGUUGAGUAAUUCCAUCUGGUAAAAGAGAAGAAGAUGAGUCUAGGCACCAAUUCAACAAUCAGCUAAGAAAGGAAGAAGAUAGACACGAUGCCAUUUUCAACCAAUAGUUAAAGAGUUAAUGAAACGAAAUUCAGCUUGUCGUUUUAUCUCUUAUUACUGUUUCUUUUAUUUUGAUCAAACAAUGUGUUGUUGAGUCAUUUUAUUUGGUCUGUAAAGCUGAGAAAGGCACAUUUUUUAUUUUCUUGGUAUUCUUGUUGUUUCUUCUUUACUGUUACUGUGGCUGUUGUAAGGCACAUAAAUCCAUUUCUGGUAUCUUGCACACAACUGUUUUCUUCUUUUAUUUCUUGUUUCUUUUUUUUCAAUGUCGAGUAUUUUGGAUCGGUUGUUAGUGCUCAUAUAAAUACACUUAAAAAAAAGAUGAAGAGGUGAUUUCGACUCUCCAAUUUUCUUCAUUAAAAACCUCUGCUCCCUGCUUCUUUGUUCUUUAUUUUUUAUGUUUAUCAAUUAAGUUUGAUAAAUUUAACAUGGUAUCAGACUUGUAACGUGAUCUUAAGGGACCAUUUUCCUCAGUCGAUCCUCUCCUUGCUUGCAACUUCUUGAUUAUUGCUCUAUCUUUUGGUUAUGGCUACUGCUGGAUUUGGCACCUUUAUUCCACCAGUUUUCACUAGAGAAAAUGAUGUUUUAUGGUCGGUAAAGAUGCAGUCCUAUCUCAAGGCUUUCAGUCUUUGGGAGGUGGUGGAGACAGGGACUAAACCAGAGUAAAGUUAUGCUAAUCCAACCUUAGCUCAGAUAAGGCAGUUUGAAGAAGACAAGGCAAAAAGGUACAAGGCCCUUUCUUGCUUACAAUCUACAAUGUCUGAUGAAAUCUUUGCUAGAAUAAUGCAUCUAGGUAAUCCUAAGGAAGUUUGGGAUCAUUUAAAGCAUGAGUUUCUAGGUAGUGAUAGAACUAGAAAGAUUCAAACUUUUAAUCUAACUAGACAAUUUGAAAUGUUAACCAUAGAUGAGAGUGAGACUAUUAGGGAAUUCUUUGGUAAGAUUAUGGGAAUAGUUAAUACACUUAGGCUGCUAGGUAAGGAGAUGACAGAGGAAAGAUUAGUCAGUAAGAUGUUGUUGGGGUUACCUAAGAAAUAUGAAUAAAAAAUCUCCUCCUUAAAGGAUUCGAGGGAUAUUGGUCAGAUGACAUUGAAAGAACUAGUCAAUGCAUUAGAAGGAUUAAAGCAAAGAAGAGUUUUUAGGCAAAAUAAACUCACAGAGAGUGCUUGGUUGCCAAGGCUAAAAAUCAAAAGGUAGGAAGCAGCAACACAAGGAGGAUUGAUGGUAACAAUAAGGAAAAAGGGAAAAAAGUUAAGGAGAAGAAAAAUGGGGAUCAGAAGAAAGCCUAUCCACCCUGCUCGCAUUGCAAAAAGACAAAUCACACAGAGAAAUAUUGCUAGUUUAGACCUCAUGUGAAGUGCAGAAAGUGUCGCCAGCAAAGACAUAUGGAGAAAGUGUGUAAGAACAAAGGCAAGAGUGCUGAUGAGAAAAUAGUUGUGGUUGAGGAGCAUCAAGCAGAUAAUGAAGUACUUUUCAUGGUCAAAAAGGUGGAUAGUGAAGAGAAAAACAAUGUCUAGUUGCUGGAUAGUGGAUGUUCAAACCACUUGACUGGUUACAAAGAGAAUUUUAUCAGUUUGAAUGAGAAUUUUAGAACUCAAAUGAAUGUUGGUAAUGGUGAUAUGUUGCUGAUCUUUGGAACUGGUAUAGUGGGAGUUCAGACACCUGGUGGCAUUAAGUCAAUUGCAAAUGUUUACUUUGCUCCUGAUGUGAGUAAGAACUUGCUAAGUGUAGGUCAACUAGUGGAUGAAGGCUUUGAAUUAAAUUUCAAAGACGAAACUUGCGCAGUGAAAGAUCCAGCUGGUGUUGAACUAUUUACAGUGGAAAUGAGAAACAAAUGUUUCCCAUUAAACUGGAUGACUCUAAAACAUAUUGCUUUCAAUUGCACUUUGUUUGAUACUGAAUUAUGGCACAGGCGGUUUGGACAUGUGAACUAUGAUUUGCUGAGUUUAAUGGCCUCAAAUAGUUUGGUUGAUGGGUUGCCUGACGUGGCAAAUUUUAUUUGAGAGGUAAUACAACCUUUGUUCCAUAUACUAGUGAAAAAAGAGCUACCUCCGUAGGUCCACGCUUGGAAGUUCUAUAUGCCCAUAAUGCUACGAGAAGUGCAUCAAGUCACAUCUUUGGUUCUUCAUGCACCAUUCUACUAAGCACGUUGAGUAAAGUCUUGUUAGUAGCUUUAGCUUGACCAUUUUCUUUCGGGUAGUAAGAAGUAGACUUCACACGAUCUAUAUCAUGAAGGGCAAGUAAUUCCCUUACAUUAGCAUUAAUGAAUGGAGUACCAUUAUCUAAAAAUGUACAUCUAGGUAUGCUAAACCUGUCAAUUAUGUUUUCCUUGAUGAAAUUUGUUACCACUAGACCAAUUGUAUUCUUCAAAGAAAUGGCUUCGACCCAUUUAGUAAAGCGCGCUCUGUUACUGCCAAUAUCCAAGUAUAUCCUUUAGAAGAAAGAUUGAUAGGUCCAAUCAAAUCAAACGCCCAAGUAUGGAAAGGCCAUGGAGUAAUGAUGCUAUGAAGUUGUAUAGCCGAAGCAUGUAUAGCAUUCCCAUAAAUUUGACACGAAUAACACUUCCUUGCAUAAUUCACUGCAUUCGCUUCGUAGUAGGCCAAUAAUAGCCAAGAUCCAAAAGCUUCUGAUAAAGCUUCCUUCCAUUUUCAUGUUCUCCACUAUUACCUGCAUGCACUUCUUCUAACAAUGGAUUGACAUCAACUAGGAAAACACAUUUUAAUGGUGUUCCUACAAAUGAGAGUCUGAACAAGUCAUUUCCUUUGAGGAAGAAAUGUUGAGCUCUUCUCUUGAGUUAUCUGGCAUCUUCAAAGUUAGCUAAUAAAAUUCCAUUUUAGAGAAAAUCAACAUAAAGCCUAUGCCAAUCACCAUCACUUCCCACAAAAUUAAAUUUUUGUAUAUUUAGUGGUUUAGAACAUCUAGUGCAAGCCUUUUGAAGCUGUAAAGCAUCUUUGGACAUAUAUGGCCAAAAAUGUCCUACUCUUUGGAGUAAGCAAUAUAAAGGUGGUUCUUCCUCCCCACACCAUUGUUCAUGGGUUAUUCUCAAUAUUUCUUUUGCCUCUUCCUAAAAAACGCAUCUUGCUAGAACUCCAUUACUUCCUUUGUGGUAAAGUGUAUCGUGAAUCAAAAUGUAGUGUUUCGAGCGUGGAAUAGCAGUAGAACCUAGAUUAAGCAACUCUUCUAUGACAAGUUUUCACCAAUCCUCUUCUUCAUAAAUUGGUGGUUAUAAUAGCUCACUAAAUGGACAUGGGAUAGUCCUCUUGAGUACAACUAUAGGAAUACUUCAUUCUUUCUUUGGAAUAUGGAUUUCAGAAGCCAAUGUAGCAAGUGCAUCUGCAUAACGGUUCAUUGUUCUCAGAGUAUGUUCACAUCUCCUCGCUUGAAAUUUCUUUAACAAAGACUGAACAAGAGUUUUGUAAGAAGCAAGCAUAGGCUCUUUCAAGGAAAACUCACCAUUAGCCUGCUUUACAAUAAGAUUAAAAUCUCCAUGAAUGCAAAGAUUGCUUACAAUCAUUAUUGCCGUAUACAACCCCAAAGCUAGUGCUUCGUACUUAGCUUGAUUAUUUGUGCAUGGAAAAUCUAGCUUGAAAGCUAAAGAGAUAAGUUCUCUACUUAACUCUAAACCUAGAAUCAAGAAGUUCCCAUAUUUACUUGACACUUCCAAGACGUGAAGAUCUUUCUCUUUUCAAAGAAAUGUGAUUUCUACUUAAAUGAAAGACAAUUAAUGCAGAGCUUUGUAUCAAGGAGUUAUCUUCUUUACCUAGUGGAAUAAGAACUAUUUUAGCACCUCCUCCAAAACUGUUUGAAGAACCAUCAAAGUAUAAACUCCACUCCCCUUACUCUAUGCUCAUUGAACAUAAAUCUUCAUGAAAUUUAACAAGAAUGGCAUCAGGAAUAACUUCUUCAAAUUGAGAUGGAAAACAUGCUAACAAAUUUGAAAGAGCUUGAGACUUGAUAGCUUUUGGCUAAACAACCGAUAUAUUGAAUUCUCUCAAAAAAAAAAGCCACAUUGUUAUUCUUCUUGAUAAAGCUAGCUUAAAAAGUAAGAAUUUGAUAGGGUCUGACUUUGUCACUAUUAUAAACUUGUGAGCGAAAAAAUAGUGUCGGAGCUUCUGAGUUUCAUACACCAAAGCAAGACAGUACUUCUCCAUAUGUGGAUAAUUCAACUCACUUCCAUGUAAGCAUUUAUUAAGGUAGUACACAAGUUUUUCUUCUCCAUCCACUUCCUCUACAAGUAAAACACCAAUUGAAUAUGGAGUAGAAGUUAAAUACAUCAUUGGCUCUCUUUUAAUAGGCAUGAUCAUUGUUGUAGGACAAGUAAGAAUCUUCUUAAUCUUCUCAAAUGCUUGUUGUUGUGGUUCACCCUAUGUGAAUGGAAUACCUUUCUUAAGCUAGACUUGGAAAGGCACAAUGAUUUCUCCUAAAGCUGGAAUGAAUCUCCUAAUAUAAGAGACUUUUUCGAACAAGCUUUUGAGUUGUUUUGAUUCACCGGAGAUGGCAUGGAUUAAAUAGCCUUUAUUUUUGCAAGAUCAACAUCUAUACCUUUUCUAUGUGCCACAAAACUCAAGAAUUUCCCAAUUGUUACUCCAAAUGCAUACUUUAAAGGAUUCAUGUGGAGAUUAUACUUUCUACACCGUUCAAAUACUCUCAUAAAGUCUUUAAAGUGAUUAGAAGCCUUUUUAGAUUUCACCACUAUAUCAUCCACAUAAUCUUCCAUACAAUCAUGCAUCAUGUCAUGGAAUAUAGCUGUCAUGGCAUGUUGAUAGGUUACACCUACAUUUUUUCAUCUAAAUGGCAUUAUAGUGUAAUAAAAAUUACCAAAUGGAGUUCUGAAAGUUGUUUUCUCUGCAUCUUCUCAUGCCAUCUUUAUUUGAUUGUAUCCACUAAACCCAUCCAUAAAUGAAAAGAUCUCAUGACCAGCUGUAGCAUCCACUAAAGUAUGAAUAUUAGGAAGAGGAAAAUCAUCUUUUAGGCAUGUCUUGUUCAAAUCUCUGAAAUCUACACACACCCGCAUUGUAAUAUUCUUCUUUUUCACAAAAACUACAUUUUCUAGCCAAGUAAGAUAAUGUAUGGGUUUAAUGAAUCCAACCUUGAAAAGUUUGUUAAUCUCUUCCUUUAUCUGGCUUUCUACCUCAUGGUGGAAUACAGCAGCAUGUUACUUCACUGGUUUACUUUGUGGAGAAAUGUGUAACUAGUGAGUAAUGAGGUUCUCAUCCAAUCUAAACAUCUGCUCAUAAGUCCAAGCAAACACAUCUUGGAAUUCUUUCAAUAACUCAAUUAACAUAACUCUUUGCUCACUAGAAAAGCUCUUGCUUAUGAAGAAUGGCUUAUUUGUCUCUCCUUCUUUCACCAUAUUUAUUUCUUCCAACUCAUCACCUUGAGGCUUAGGUAGAUCUUGGAGUUGUUUCGCUUGUACUUUUUCCUUCUCUGUUUCCACUUAAAAACAUGAUGGUGAUGUAUCCAGUGGCUUCCAAAGUUUGGGAUUAGGAGAAGAUGUUUCCUCAAACCUCGCGUUCCAUCAUAAGUAAUACACAAUUUUUCUAUCUUCAUGUGCAUAAGAAGUUACCCCAUUAGAUGUCUUUUCUUCAAUUACUUCUCUAUAUGUGGAAGUAUUUCCUUUUCUUUUCUUCUCACCUCGCUUCUUCUUCUUGCUACUACUUUCUUUCUUAUUCCCAUCCCAUCGCAAAAGUGGAACACCGACAGGUCUAGCAAUAGUUGUUUCUCCAUCUUUUGCUAGAUCUUUAAAAAACGAGGCCUCUAUAUUACUUACCUCGCGCUGUUCAAAUGGAGCUUUAGUAGCUAGAAUGAAAAUCUCCUUCCAUUCCCAAUGUCCCUUAAUACAUUGAUGGUGUGAGGAAGGAAUGAUAUUGUGCAUGUGCAGGAAGUUUCUUUCAAUUAGAGCAUGAUAAGCCACAUUUGCAUAAUAACAUGGAAACAUGUCUGAUCUUGAAUUGGCCUCAUCUUAAAGUUCACUAUCACUUGCCCAAAGGUCAUAAUCUCCUUGUUAUUAAAAGAAGUGAUAGUCAUAGGAUGAUGUAGGCUUCUUAAAUCUAUGUUUACAACUUUCAAAGUAGAUAAAAGUAUGAGAUUCAUAGAGGAACCAUCAUUAAUGAAUGUUCUCCUAAUGGGACAUCCAUUAAUAGUGCUUUCCACAUAAAGAGGUUUAUUAUGAUAAAGAUAGGGUAUACACAUGUUCGUUUUGGUAAACACAAUAGUGUUUUGAUAUGCACUAACCAUCUUCCCCAUAAGUCGUCCUACUAAGUUACACCCCAUACUAUUCUCUAACUAUCUGAACAAGUGAUAUAGUUGUUUCUUUCCUUGCUUCUUCUGAAAACUCAAGCUGGUCAAAGAAAUGCUUGAAGCUAGACGUUUUCAUGAGUAAAUUAGCAAUCGAAGAAGCAACCAUAGUAGCUUCACUUGUAUCAUUGAACUAGGUGUUGGAAAAAGAAGGGUCAUCAUGGUGAGCAUGAAUUAUUGCACUUACUUGGCCUUGAGGAUUUGGAUAAACGGGAAAAGGGUUAUUCUAGACUCUAUUAUUUCCAAUCAAUACCUCUCUUGCUUGCACUCAUCAAUGGAACAUUCUUUGAAGGUUUCUGCAUUCAAAAAGUGGAUGACCAAUUGCUUGAUGAUAAUCAUAGUACCUUAGGUUAGUUUUCUCCUCCGCUGUUGGUGGUUGUGAAAUGUAAGGUAAAUUUAUCUGUACAUCCCUGACCCAUUCUUGGAGAAAAGCUCUCACUCUAUCUAGAGGUACUGAGAAUGGUGGAAAAGAAUCAUUCUCCUUAUUUGGCUUUUUCCUUGGGAUAUCUAUUCUAAGACGUAAAUUUGUUCAAACUGGACCCUUUCUUUCUCUACCUUCUCCUUAUAUGGUAUUCACCGUUGGGGUAUUCCUUCUACCAAAACGAGUGAGUCCUUUUUGUCUAAGAACCAUAUUAUUGGUCCUUCAUGUAGCUUCCACCAAGGUAGCAAAGGUUGGAAGAGGUAGAUUCUCCAAGUGUAACCUAUAUUCAUCAAACAUCCCUUAAAUUCACACCUUUACCAACUCUUUCUCAUCAUGAGAUUCUUGUAUGUCUAACGCCUUUUCUCUAAAGCGUUGGAUAUAUUCCAUUAAGUCCUCCUUAGACUUUUGAAACUUUCUUUCAAGAUCAAUAAGAGUAACUUUCUCUUAAGUAGAAAAGAACUUUUCCCCAAACAUUCAAAACAUCUUAUUCCAAGAUUGAACAGAACCAUGAGUGAGAUUAACAUAGCACAUAUAAGCCUUCUCAAAAAAAGACGUAGAGAACUCUUUCAACUUCAAGUUAUCAUCCAUUCCAGUAACUCCUAGAGUCUCCAUAAAUUUCAUGACAUGAUCUCGUACAACUCUAGUCUUUCCAUUGAAUUACUUAAACUUGGGGCUAGUAUAGUCUUUAGGGUAUGGUUUUGCAGCUACACUGGCCGAGUAAUGCAACUUGAGAUCAAACUCAGAAAAAUUCAAGCUCUUGUUCUUCUGAUCUAGCAGCCUUUAGAGCUCUUCCAUUGCUACAAAUCCUUGAGUAUGAGCAAGUGGGAUUACUACAAUAAAGGUAGUUGCUAGGGUAAUUGUAGCAAUGGUGUUAGUAGGAUUAGGGUUUGUAGCAACUACUACAUCAACUGCACUUUCUCCAUUUCCUCCAUUCCCCUCAGUGUUUGUAACUAGAGGAGUGACUCUAUCUGGUGCACUCUCAUUAAGGUGCAUAGGUUGGGCUUGAGAAAUGGUGGCAGUAGAGGAUGCGAAUUAAGAUAUGGUGUCCAUCAUUCAUCAAUUUUUGUCCUCUAAUGUUUGCAUCAUCUCUUGAGAAGCUUGGAUCAUUCUCAUCAGAUCCUGAAUGUAGGAAGAAAUAUGUGUAUCUUGGUUGCUAGUGGAACUUUCCAUCUUUUUCGGUAACAUGAAAUUGUAGUAAUAAAAGUCUCCUCCCUAGUGGAAUUGUCAAAAUGUAAAAAGGGUUCUUGUAAUAAGAAAAGAAGAGUUACAACCAAAUAAAGGAUGUAUCAGAGGUAGCAGAAAGGAAAAUCAGAGUAGUUCCUGAAGUACUGAGUGUCACGGUAGGUUGAAAAGAACAAGAAGGGACUAGGUGUUCUUAGUGAGAAUAGGCUAGAAAUAAAAGCUCUAAGUGAGAGUCAGGUCGUUUUCCAAGUGGAAAGUCUCCCCCUUGAAUUGUGAAGGCUCUAUAUAUAGUGCCAAAAAUAACGGUUAAAAGAAAAGGCUGUAAUACACGUAAAGAAUGAUAUUAUUAAAGAGAGUUUUAAUGUUAGAUAAUUGUUACUGAGAGUUAAUGUCGAGUAACGGUCAGAAACUUAUUAUGUGACAGUUAAAGUAAUUAUAUGUAAUAAGACUUAUUCUCAAGUAGGAGCUAAUAAAAAAGAGUUGUAUGUGAACAGGUACAAGAGAAGAAACUGUAUGUGAAUAGGUAUAAGAUAAGAAGCUAUACGUGAAUAGGUACAAGAGGACAAGGCAAAAGCAGGAAACUUGUACUUCAGGAAAAGGUUAAGAAAGAGACCUCUUAACUACUUCCAUAUCUGAGCUAUCAAAUCAAACUCUCUGAAACAUCCCAAUAUGAAGGUAAUCCAUGAACCCUGUCACUUAUUAUAGAUUACUUUCACUGUCAUCUGUGUGAAGCAGUUGUUCUACUUGUAUUAAUUGUUCCACAUGAAGUGAUGUUCCACUUAUUCUAGUUGUUUCAUGUGAAGUAGUAAUUCACUUCUUUUAAUUGUUUUGCGUAAAGUAGUGCUUCACUUAUAAUGGUUGUUCUCAUUAUUGUCUAUAUAAUGUUACGUGAUAAAAUAAUUCUUUAGAGAAUAGAUAUUAAUCAAAAUCGACUAUCUACAAAUGAUAAGUUGCAUCAUGUCGUAUUUUUCGUGAAAAGUAUUAAUUUUAUUAGGUUCAUUACCAUUGUGCCAUCCUCAAGUCUCUCAUACGAAGUCCAAAGGACUCUUCAUGGCACCAAAGGAUGGUAAGAGCUGUGAGUAACUGUACAAAUACAAAAAAAUAACUCCACUCAAAGGAUAUGGCAGCAUCAAACCACUAGCAGAAAAUACCCUUUGAGUAAAAACAGGGUUUGCCAGUGACGCAUCAAUUCAGACCACCGAAGGGAAAUCAACAACACAUGCAUUUUGAAAUUUUCCGCAUGUAGGAGUAGAAGAUGGAGAGCUUCCACCAACAAGAUGAAUGAGACAGGCAAGAGUGGUUUCCCUGUCAAAGCCCAUGCAUCAAAGGAAAUUUCGAUGUGGGCGAGCCUUGAACAAGUACGUCCUCUCUCACCAUUGAGAUGCAUUCAAUGCAAUCAAAGCUAGGGCCCAUGUUUUCCAUCACGAAUAAUAACAAACCUCAACCAAUCAAUUAUAGGCCUUCUCGAAAUCUAAUUUGAGAACAAUAUCACCUUCAUUUCCUAGUCAACUAAUUUACUUGACCAGAAAAAUAAUAAUUGUCUAAUUUAAUAAGUCUUUUCAUAUAUUACAAGGCAUGAAUUUAGAUAAUUACUUUUGUUGAGGAAUGAGAACUUGGAUAAAAAUACUAUACUUGAGCCAUGUACUUUAGUUCACUUUUCUUAUCUUCUCUUCUUUCAACGCAAUACCCAAAUGAAAUCGAUAGCCCAUUUUCCCAUUAAACAGUAGCGAAAAUGAUUCUAUAUUCUUUAUUAUUUUGCCAAGUAAACUUCAUUAAUAAGUUAAACCAAGUAUUAUUAUUUUUUUAAACAAAAUGCGUAUUCCUCUUAUUGACAAUUAUAUAGAUGAUCAGAAUAUGGUAAUCCACUUUUACUUUGUUUCUUUUUUUUCUUUUUAGUGAUAUUCUUUUUCGCUCUUAGCUUUAGAAAGUAGAGAACUUGAACUCGAAGGAUCAAAAGAAGAAAUUAAUUUGAGCCUUAAUUAGAGUCUUGUCCUGUCUUUGCUUGUCAAGGAUGAUUAUUUAGGACUCCUUGUGCAUUAUUUUGUCGAAUUUGUCAAUAUUCUCUUUUUACUAUUUAGUUUUUAUUAUUUAUUAUUAUUUUUUUAAAAAUUAUAAAUUCCAUUUAUACCUCUUGCGGUUUUAACUUUAUUCAUGUAACACGAUGUGAUUUCUUUUUUUUUCUUUAGCAUCCUAUGGUUAUCAUUUUUUCCAAUUAACAUCAAAUUAACCGCCAAUAGCUUUUUGAACUGUAUUUGUCUUUUGUAACUCUAUAAGUUUUCUUUGCCCAAACCAAAUCCUUAUAUCAUUGAAAGUCUCUUAUCAAUUAAGGAAGAGACUUAGAAUGGUGAGGCUAAUAAAUAUGCUUUAAAAAAUAAAUCAUGUAGAUAAUUUCCACUCUCCCUACUAAUAAAAUUAUCAAAAUAUCCUCAGUUAAAAUUUAGUGUAUUUGUUUGUACUUAAGGAUAUUUUUGCAAUUUUAUUAGAUAUAAUUAAUAUCUUAAUCACUUGUGUGAAUAUAAGUUAUGUACAGAAGUGCUAAUUAGCAUAGAAGAUAUCACAAGAUACUAAAUGGAAAAAAAGAAACAUCGUGAUGUCAUAUAAAAAAUUGAAACAACAAGAAGUAUAAGUAGAGUUUACCUUUAAUAAAUUACUAUAAAAAAGGUAAAAGCUAAAAAACAGUGUUAUAAUUGAUUUGAAAUGGAAGAAUACUGAAAAUAUAACAUCAAUUAUUAUGACAUGGUUAAUUUGUAUAGAAGUAUUAUCAUGCAUUUUGUCAUCUAAAAAAUUAUAUAUUUUGUAUGUAAUCUUUCAAAAUUAUUUAUUUUUUAUUAAAACGUUCUUUUUAUUUUUUUAUUUUUAUUUUCAAUAAAAAUAUCAAUCAAACAGAACCUAAGUUACAUUUAUCUUUUUUAAAAUCAGAAUGUUGAAUGCAUAGGAUUAUGGAUAUAUGAGAAUCUUAAUCAAAUGAAAUGAUCAAAUAAAGGAAUAGAGAAGAUGCCAUCUCCAAUAUUAGUGGUAAUCUACCAAAAUUUUCAAACUAAUUUGCACCAUAGCUUUUGACAAAUUAGAUACUUGAUUAAUCUGGGCACCCUGCUGUAUGUAUCUCCCUUGUGCCCUCUGUUCUUCUUUCCUAAUUUUUGAAGUUUAUUCUUGGUGCCUGCUAUGUUUAUUUUGUGCUUGGUACCCCGUGUUUAUGACAUUGCGUCCCUUGACGAGGCAAUAAUCGUCCGGUUGAUUUUAUAUAAAGAGAGGAAUUUGAUUCAUCAAUGGCAUCAAAAUUUGGAACACAGAUACAAUUGAAAUUAGCUCUAUCUGACAGCAAACCCUAUACUUCAACUUUGGCUAAAGAAGUCAUGCCAGAAACCCAAAAGUAGCAUUACGCAAACAUUUCACACGACAUUUCUACAACGUCAUGCCCCAAACCCUAGGUAGAAGGGACCAGGUGAGGUGAUUCUUCCAACUUGGCUUUGCAUAAAGGACCUUUUCUUCUUCCAUUAUUACAUUCUCUGCUUGGACACUAUAUAUAUAUAUAUAUAUAUCUUCUGUUUCUAGUAAUUAUAUGUUUCUAAGAAUCUUUAUUGCUUGUCUAAAUUACCCUUGGACGUGAAGAUCAAUAUUAGAAAAAUAGCCUUGAAUUUAAUUGUAAUACCCUUCACAAAAAAAAAAAUUGUUUAUUUGAUAAUUGCAGAUAUGGCCUUAGGGUUAUUAAUAAAAAUGAGAAAAGAAGAUAGGACUUCUUGGAAAAUAGAGUAGACAUAUUUUCGUUGGUGUCAAAUUACGUUAUAACAUCUAAAAAGAAAAUCAAUCAGUUUUACCUUAUCAUAUUUAAAAAAAAAAUCAAUCAAUUUUAUCUUAGCAUGUUUAAAAGAAAAGCAGUCAGUUAAUCUUAUCAUAUUUAAAAAAAAAAAAGCAAUUAGUUUAUCUCAACACAUUUAAAAGAAAAGCAAUCAUAUUCAUAUUUUUGUUGUAAAAAUCGGUUUGAGUAUGCAAAAUGUAUAUAUAUGAUUUUCAUAUGUUCGAUUUUAGAAUGUGAAUUUUGCAAAAUAUGAUUUUUGAUUUUGAAAUAUGAAUAUGAUUUUUGUCUAACAUAUACAUAUAUGAUUAUCUUUGUGAUUACAUAUGUAAAUACUUAGUUUGAAAUAAAUAUGCUUCUGAUGUGCACAGUAUGUGUUUUGUGAAAAUGAAUAUUACCGUUUUGUGAAUUUGGGUAAUCAGAAAAUAUAUUUUGCUUUGUCUCCUAGUAUGGCUAUGUUAUGAUCUUGCCAAUGAGGGUUAAUCAUUGGCCAUGUCGACAUGUAUUAUCUAAUUAGAUAUUGAUCUCCCAACUGUACCAUUGGUUACAAAAUAUUGGUGAUUGUGAUAUUUGUUCAGAGUAGCCAAUGGUUGCUUCUGAUAUACUUAUGACCUAUGACACUAGGGUUAAUUGUGGUUUUGAUAUAAUUAUGAACCAUGCCACUGGGGUUAAUUGUGAUUAUGACCUAUGCCAUUAAGGUUAAUUGUGGUUUCGAUAUGAUUAUGAACCAUGCCAUUAGGGUUAAUUGUGGUUUUUGUUAUGAUUAUGACUUAUGCCUUAAGGGUUAAGUUUGGCCAUAGCAUGUUACGGCAGGCCAUUAAAAUUUGUAAAAAUUGUGAAAUCAUAUUUUAUCUGUAAUUUAAAAAUUUUAGAAUUAAAAAUAGUUAUGUUAUUUGAAUUAGAUUACCUAAAAUUCUGUUUUUAAUAUUUAUAUGAGAAUAAAAGUUUUUGGCCUAAAUGUUUUGUACAUGCUUAAUUCGACUGAAGGGAUGUUAGUCACUUGCUGAGCUAUUGGACUCACUCAUUCCUUCACUUCUUUUUUUAGGUUAUGAUUUGGUUAACUAUAUAGGAAUUUUGGGACUGAUGUUUAAAAUUUAGUAUAUGGAUUUAGAUUGUCCUAGGAUUGUUUAAAUGUUAUGAACAUCGAACUAUCUUAAAUUAAUUGUUCAAGAUUUUAUCUCUACAUCUUAACUAUGAGAAUCAUUAUAUUUCACAAAUAUAUUUGACCUAUUUAGUUAGUUAGUUAAGAUAUAUGUUUUUGAGCCUUGCAUGUCUGUAGGAUUAUAUUUUAUAGGUGUGCGGCGUCUGUUGUAACUCGAGUAUGAGGCAUGAUAGAUUUAGUGGUAUCAAAGCUAGGUUAGGCAUAAUUAUGUAGUUUUGACACUUAUGCAAGAUUCAAGAGAUGGGUAGAAAAAUAAGAUUGGGAUAUUUUCUCUCUAUUCAUAUUUGAUACACUCAUAUGAUUGCUAUAUCUUAGUGUUUAAAAGAAAAAAAGGCUAAUGGUAAUUUUCCCUAUUAUGAAUAACCAGUAUGUCUCCCCGUCGAGACCGUGAGCCUAAUCUUGCUGAACUUGCGGCUAGUGCUAAAGUUGUUAGUGCUAGGGGGUCUCACCUUGAGAAACUUCAAAAUCCUUUAAACUAAAAUCAAGAUGAUUUUGACACAUCAAAUGUUCAGAUAACUAUUGGAAUUAACCAACCUCCUACUAAUUCGAUCAAUGGGACACAAGGUGCUGUGGUUGGAAAUGAUGACAGAGUGUUGAACUUGAUCCAAAAGGUAGUUAGUUUGGUUAGGGAGCAAUGACAAUGUCUGCAACUGAUCCAACAAGUUGAUAAUUCUAUUGAGUGGAAAGCCUUGGGUGAACUUAAGAAGAUAACACCUUUUUCUUUCUAAGGUUCCAUAAAUCUUGAUGAUGCGAAAUUAUGGAUUCAAGAGAUGGAGAAAGCUUUUUGAUGCCAUGCAUUCCAGUCAUGCGUGCACUCAUGAAAAUGACCCUGAGUUCUUCAACUGAAGGAAUUUUCGCAUUGCUUUUUAUACCAAGUACUUUCCUUAUAGCAAGCUAUCAUAAUUGGAGAGGGAGUUCCUUAAUCUAGUUCAAGGCAAUAUGACAGUGGAUGACUUUGAGGUUGAGUUUGAUAGGUUGUCCAAGUUUGCGAUUUUUCUAGUUUCUGAUGCUGAGAGUAAGGUUAGGAGGUUUGAAAAUGGUUUAAAUGCUCAUAUCCGCAAAGGCUUAGCUCUAUUGCAUUUGAUCAACUACAAUGAAGUGGUUGGUAAGGUGAAACCUUAGAUUCUAUAUGGUUGAAAUUUAAUGUAGAUGGAGCAACUAGGGGAAGCUCAAGCCAAGCAGCCAUUAGUGGAUUUCUGAUAAAUGAGGCUGAAGUAGUUAAGUUACAGAUAUCAAAACCUAUCGGGAUCUUGGAGGCCAAUAUGGUAGAAGUGUUUGCGAUUAAAGAGGCUUUUAAGUUGUUUGGAGCUUCCAAAUAGGUUGAGAGAUUCGUGUUAAUGGUGGAGAGUGAUUUGAGCAAUGCUAUUGGUUGGGUUAAUCCUAGAAGAGCUCCAUGGAGGUUGAAGAGAAAAAUUUUAGUAUUAAAAAGGUUUAGGAGUAAAGUGAGGGAGUGAAAGAUCAGGAAAAUCCCUAGAAAAAUAAAUAAGGUUGCAUAUGAAAUUGCCAAGUCUAGAAUCAUGAGAGAUGAUGAACUUCUUUUGAUUCUAGACUAAAUUGUGGAUGCAUUCUCAUGGUCAGGUCUAGUUGGUUUAGGGUUUCUUGUUUUGCUCCUUAUUAUGUUUUUCUCUCCUUUUAGUGCGAUUUUUGUUUAUUCAUCUCAUGAUCAGGUUCUUUCCUAGUGUGAGUUUCUUUUAGGUUUUUAAUCAGUUAACAAAGCUCUUGGAUUGGUGAAGCAUGAUGACUAUGAGUAUGGUAAGGAGACCAAACUUAUGAAUAAAAAAAAAAGAUGAAAUAAAGUAGGAAUAAUGAGGAAUGGGGCACAUUCCUUUAGAUCAUCUUUCAAUAGUUCCUAAUUUACCUAUCACCUGCACUGAAAAGGACAACUUUCUUUGCGAUGCUUGUUGUAAAGCCAAACAAACCAAAUUUCCUUUCCCAAUUCAUACAAAUAAAAGUUUGCAUGCUUUUGAUUUAAUCCAUUGUGAUAUUGGGGGGCCCUAUCGCAUUGCAUCCUUUUCAUGAGCACAUUAUUUUCUCAUUAUUGUUGAUGAUUAUAGCUAGGCAACACGGGUUUUUUUUGUAAAGCAUAAAUCAGAAACUAGAAAUCUCUUGCUUUAUUUCUUCCAAUGGGUUAGUACACAAUUCAAUGCACAAAUCAAGAUAUUGUGAACAGGCAACGGUUUGGAAUUUAAGCAUAAAGAUUUGGUGGAUCAUUAUUUUAAGCAUGGCAUGGAAAGAUAAACUAGUUGCACAGACACACCUCAGCAAAAUGGUGUGGUGGAAUGCAAACAUCACCACCUCUUAAAAGUAGCACGAGCACUUCGAUUUCAAGCCAACUUUCCCAUCACCUUUUAAGGUGAAUGUGUACUCACUCUAGCAUAUCUAAUCAACUGUAUGCCAUUCUCAGUCAUAGACAAUCAAACUCCAUAUGAGAAAUUGCUUGGCAGACCUUUGUCAUAUGAUCAUCUUAGAUUUUUUGGAUGCCUAUGUUACAGACAUGUCAACAACAAGCCUUGUGCUAAGUUUGCCUCUCAAAGUAAACCAGGAAUCUUUGUUGGCUACCCUUCAGGGCAAAAGAGAUAUCGCAUCUAUGAUCUUGAGAGCAAAAAGAUAUAUGUUUCUUGAGAUGUGCAGUUGUAGGAAGAAACAUUCCCAUUGGACAAAACGAAAGUUAACAAUUCAACUACUAAGGGUGCAUAUCAACAUACAUAGACCAUUUUCUCAGUGCAUUUGAUGAACUACCUAAACACUCAAGCAUUGAAAGUUACUUACAGCAAAAUCCAAUAGGCAAUUCACCAAUGCCGCAACAUUCAGAGCAAAACCAAGAGGUCACAUCAUCAAUGUACCCCUGAGAAGAGUCAACACAUUUGGAAAACAACAUCAACCAAACUGAUGAUUCUAUCUCCCCUCUAAUUGAGCCAAAGAUGGCAAUACAAGAUAAUAGCAUUUCUUCAUCACAUACAGAACAACACGAUGUUAUUCCUAUCAAACGAUAAAGAAAAAUAUUGAAGCAACUAUCUGGAUAUGAUUAUAUUUGCCCUCUUCACUUGUUCCUGAUUCGUACUCUUCCUCUCCUUUGGCUAACUCGACAGUAUAUCCCUUAUCUCACAACAUUUCUUACUUUAAAUUUUCCAGAGCUCACAAUGUGUUCUUAGUGGCCAUCUUAGCCAUCGAUGAGCCAAAGUCAUUUUUCAGGCAGUUAAAAUACAGCACUGGUGUGAUGCCAUGGCCAAAGAGAUAUCUGCCUUAGAAGCAAAUAAUACGUGGACUUUGACCUUUCUAUCUUCGAGAAAAUGAGCCAUUGAUUCUAAAUGUGUGUAUAAAAUCAAAUACAAUCCAGAUGGAACAAUAAAAUGUUAUAAAGCAAGGCUCGUCGCCAAGGGCUAUACAAAAAUUGAAGGGGUGGAUUUCCAUGAGACAUUUGCUCCAGUUGCAAAAUUGGUCACAGUACGCUGUCGUUUGGCUAUCGCUGCCGUACGUCACUGGGAGUUACACUAACUGGAAGUCAACAAUGCUUUUUUAUAUGAGGAUUUAGAAAAAGAAGUUUACAUGAAAAUACCUCAAUGCUUUGCUAGAAAAAGGGAGCAGUGUGUCUAUCGACUCAAGAAAUCUCUGUAUGGACUUCGUUAAGCAUCAUGAAAUUGAUAUCAAAAGUUCACUAAUUCCUUACUAGCCAUUGGAUUUGUUCAAUCGCAUGCUGAUCAUUCUUUAUUCAUGUACUCUGCCAAAGAGUCAUUUGUUGUAGUAUUAAUCUACGUCGAUGACAUUAUAGUAAUAGGGACUGAUGCACUCAAGAUUUCCCAACUAAAGGCUCGCUUGGAUCAUGAAUUUUGUAUUAAAGAUUUUGGCAAGCUGAAAUAUUUUUUAGGCAUUGAGGUGGCAUGGUCUCCAUCCAACAUUGUCUUGAGCCAAUGGAAAUAUGUGCUUGAUAUAUUGGCAUAUAGCAGGGUCACUGGUUACAAACCCACUUCGUCACCUAUGGACCAAUAGGUCAAGCUCGAUCUUGAUUAAAGACCACUUUGUUCAGAUCCAGGGCAGUAUAGAAGGUUACUUGGAAGAUUAUUAUAUCUCACCAUCAUAAGACUUGAUAUUAGUUUUGUCGUUCAUGUACUAAGUCAAUUUAUGCAUUGCCCACGUCAACUUCAUUUUGAUGCAGCUCUACGUGUUCUUCGAUAUUUGAAAAGGUCCCUAGGUCAGGGUUUGUUGCUUCUUACUAAUAGUCAGUUAACCCUCAAACCUUACUGUGAUGCAGAUUGGGCAGGUUGUCCAACAACAUGUAAGUCAACCACGGGAUACAUCAUCUUUCUUUGUUUGUCUCCUAUCUUAUGGCGAUCCAAGAAACAGUUAGUUGUUUCUUGUUCCUCCGCAGAAGCAGAGUAUAGGGCCAUGGCCAUUACAACAAGUGAGAUUGUAUGUCUUUUUAGAUUAUUAGCUGACUUUCAAAUUUCACACCCAUCACCAACUUCAUUAUUUUGUGACAAUCAAGCUGCACUUCACAUUGUCGCAAAUUCAAUUUUUCAUGAACGUACCAAGCACAUCGAGAUAGACUGUCAUUUAUCAGACAACACAUCCAAUUCAAAACCCUUGUUCCAUAAUCCAUCUCAUCACAAUUUCAGUUAGAAGACAUUUUUACCAAGGCUCUUGGACGAAAUCAUUUCCAUGAUUUAAUGGCCAAGUUAGGCAUUACUAAUUUUCAUGCUCCAACUUGAGGGGGAGUAAUGAAGGAUAUUAGAGAAUCAUGACAGAUAUAAUGAUGAAGGAUAAUGGGGAUCAUGACAGAUAUGACAGAUAUGCUAAGGAUCAUGAUAGAUAUGCUCCUUGACUUAGUGAUAUAAUUUCUUGAUCUAAUUCCCAUAAUUUUUUGAAUUAUAGGAUGCUACAAUCUUUAUUUAAGCAUUACACUUUAUUGUACAGAUUGUUUUUCUUUUAUAUUGAUGCUAUGACUUGAAUAUAAACGGAUGAAUAUUAAUCAAAUAAAUCAUUCAAGAGAGUAUUCAAACUCUUUAAGGAAAAAAAGAGAAAAAAAGAAAAAGUAAUAAAAAGAAAAAGACAGGGAGAGAGAGAAAAAGAAUACAUUUUGACAAAAGAAAAAAAAAGAGGAAAAAAGAAAAUGGAGAGGAAAAUUUCACAUUAAAGAACACAAACAAAAGAAGAAGAGUGGAUUUGAGGAUGAUGAUGUUUCUUGCCUGACCGUAAGGAAGCUUUUCUUUGUCUUAGUGCUUUUCAAUGAUAGGAGAAUGGGUGGUAGGACCCCUAUGCUUAGUCUUUCCUUUAAGCGUAGACAAGUGGGGGUUACUUUGGGAUGGAUGGUUGGCUUCCCUUUGCUGGUUUUUUGUUCUUGGAGGCCUUGGUGACCUUUUUUUUUAGUGCUCUUUCUAAAGGGAGGGGGUGGGUGUUGUUUUUUUCCUUUCACAAUAGAGAAUCCUCUGUUUUGCGUGUCUAAGAUGGAGUUGGAAGUUCUUAUGAUGGUGUUGCUUGGGCUUCUGGUUGAUUAGGUCCUUUCUUCCAUGAUUGAGGAAAUGUUUCAAUCUUUUUUCUUGUUUAAUGGUUCUGAUGGUCUUCUAUGUUGUGUUCCAGGUGAGAGAAAGUGGGUUAGGGUCUUCGUCCUACUUUCGCUUUGGAUUUUCUAGUUCAUGGUUGGAAUUAAGCUUGUGUAUUUACGGGUGGGAUUUUUUGUUGAAUGGUUAUCAAGGUCUCUUAGUUUUAUGAUUAUGUUAAUUAAGGUUAAGAAUAUCAUGGAAAAAUUAAGAAAGAAAAAAAAAGAAAAAGAAAAAGAAAAAAUGUAAAAGGAAAAAAAAGAGAAAACAAAAAGGAAAGAAAGAAGAAGAAAAAGAUGAAAAAAUAAAAUAAAUAAGAAAGAAGAGAAAUAUAAAGGAACGUAUGAAAAAACAGAAAGCAAAAACAACAAACAAAGAGAAAAGAAUUUUGUUUAAAGAUUCUUUAGUGUGUUGAUGCUCAUGUUAUUGAAGGAAUGAUUAGGAUUGCUUAGUUCUUUGCUCCUUAUCUUGUUGGUGUGGCUUCCAUUCAUUGAGUCUUCUUUAGUAGGAAUGGGAGAGAGAGGGGGGGGAACUUUCUGUUGAGUUUUGAUUCAGAUAUGGAGGGAGGGGGGAACUGUUAAAGUCAUGGUGUACAACUAUAACACAAGAUAAAGAGAAGCAUGGAGAGAAAUAAUAAGCUGAAAAGCUGAAGAGGAGUAUUCAUCUUAUUAGCACAUGAUGAUCAUACAGUGAUCAUAUAUACAUUACAAAAUGAUAGUGUAGAUGACACUUGUAACAAACCACUUACAGGUGUUCUUUCAGGAUGAAAACAACACAUUAACAUAAAAAAUAUUGAUAGCUAGAAGUAUGGAGAUCAUGCUGUCUAAAAAGCCUGCAUGUGUCCAUACAGGGGUUAUCUUCUAACACUCCCCCUUAACACUUGCAAUGGAGAGAUUUAGUUUAGUUCUGAGAGAUUCAAAUCUUGACUUCUAAAAAGGCUUAGUUAGAAUAUCAGCUAGCUGUAACUCUGAAGGGAAAUAUUGGACAUUCAUCUCAUUCUUUUCCACAACAUCUUUGAUGGCAUGAUAUUUCACAUUUAUGUGCUUAGUCUUGCCAUGCCAGACAAGAUUUUAACAAUAGCAAUGGCAGACUUAUUGUCAGUAAACAAAUCUGUAGGAAACUUUUUCUCAAAUUUGAUGUCCACAAGUAACUUCCUCAGCCAAAGAGCUUGAUUUGCAGCUUCAACAGUAGCAACAUAUUCAGAUUCUGCUGAAGAUUGAGCUACUACAAAUUGUUUAUGUGAAUUCCAAGAGAAAGGACCAUUACCAAGUGUAAAUAAAUAACCUGAUGUGCUUUUUGCAUCUUCACUGUUUCCUGCAAAAUCAGAAUCAGUAUAUCCACAUAAUGCAAAUUCUGAUGACUUGGUAUAAUGAAUCCCACAAAAUUCUAUUUUCUUCAAGAAUCUUAGAAUUCUCUUGGUAGCAAUCAUAUGCUAAUCAGUUGGUGCUUGCAUAAAUUGAGAGAGAAAUGCCACUGGGAAUUGUAUGUCUGGUCUUGAAGCAUAGAUAUAAAGCAGGCACCCGAUUAGUCUUUUAUAUGCAGAAGGGUCUUUAAGUUGGUUACUAGAAUCUGCACAAAGCUUAUUGUCUGCAACAGAAGGAGUUGACACAGAGUUGCAAUCUAACAUUUGAAAUUUCUUAAGAACCUUAGAGAUAUAAUUUUGUUUAGAUAACCAAAUACCGGUUCUCAAAUGAUGAACUUCAAGUCCAAGAAAAUAUUUCAUAAGUCCCAAGUCUGACAUUUCAAAUUCUGUUUGCAUCUGAGAUUUAAAAUUCUGCAAGGCUUGUUCCCAAUUUCCAGUAACAAACAAAUCAUCCACAUACAAUAACACUAUCAAUAGCAAUUUGUUACCUGAUUCAAUAGUGUACAAUGUGGCUUCAUUCUGGCUUUUAACAAAGCCUCGAUGAAUCAAGUGGUCAUUGAUUCUGCUGUACCAUCUCCUUGGUGCUUGCUUCAAUCCAUAUAAAGCCUUAUGGAGCUUAUAUACCUUGUUCUCACUUGAUGAAAGUUCCACCCCUUUAGGUUGUUCAAUAUAAAUUUCCUCUUCUAAGAUGCCAUUAAGAAAUGCAAAUUUUAUGUCUAAGUGAUAGACAUUCCACUUAAGUGCAGUAGCUAAAGCUAACAAUAAUCUAAUUAUGUCAUACCUAGCUACUAGAGCUAAUGUUUCUCCAUAAUCAACACCAGGUAGCUGACUAUAGCCCUUAGCUACUAACCGAGCUUUGCAUCUGUUAAGAGAACCAUCAGGAUUUAACUUCUUCUUGAAUAUCCAUUUGACACCAAUAAUGUUUCUAUUUCCAGGUCUGUCAACCAAAAACCAGGUUCCAUUUUUCUGGAUCAUUUAAAGUUCUACCUGCAUAGCUUUAAACCAAAUAGGAUCCUUACAAGCUCCAGUAUAGCAACUAGGUUCUUCAAUAGUCACCAAGCUAUUCUGGUAAAUGUCUUCAAGUGAUCUGGUUCUGCUAACUGGCAGAUCAUUUAUACUCUCAUCUUCUUGAAUUUCAACUUGAGUAUCAGAAGCAAAAAUUUGGUCAUGCUAGCUUGGAGAUAAUAGUUGAGGCUGAGGUUCAUUCCAGUUCCAAUUGGAAGUUUUAUCAAACACUACAUCUCGACUCACAACAACUUUAUUUUUGCUUGGCAAAUAAAUUCUGUAUGCCCUAGCUUGAGUACUAUAGCCAACAAAUACUCUUGAUUUAGCUUUUUCACUCAAUUUGUUUCUCAAGAUAUCUGGUAUGUGCACAUAACAUACACAGCCAAAGACUUUCAAGUGAGCAACCGAGGGCAUGAAACCAUACCAUGCUUCAAAGGGAUUUGGUUAUUCAGUGCAUGAGUUGGUAACAAAUUCUGCAAAUAUACAGCAGUAUUUGCAGCUUCUGCCCAAAACUUCUAAGGCAUCUUCUUCUGAUAUGACAGACACCUGCUUAUAUCCAUGACUGUCCUAUUUUUCCUUUCACUUACUCCAUUCUAUUGAGGAGUGUAUGAAGCAGUAAGUUAAUGAACUAUCCCUUGCUGAUUGAGGAACUGAGUGAAUUCAUUGGAAGUAUAUUCACCACCAUUAUCAGUCUUCAAAGUUUUGAUUUUGUGACCAGUUUCAAGUCAACUCUAGUUUUGAAGUUUUUGAACAAAGUAAAGACUUCUGACUUGAAUUUCAUAAAGAAAAUCUAACUCCAUCUGGUCAUAUCAUCAAUAAACAGAAGAUAAAACUUACUGCCAUUUAGUGAUACCUCACUUAGAGGUCCACUUAUAUCAUAAUAAAUAAGUUCAAGCUUUGAUUUGGUUCUGCUGGAACCGCUCAAAGGAAAAGGCUUCCUUGAAAACUUACCAAGGUAACAUACACUGCAUAUUGAAGCAUUAUUAGAAAACUUUGGAAGCUUAUCAAGCAUACCUGAGUUGCUGACUUGUUCUAAGGUCUUGUAAUUACAGUGACCAAGUCUUCUGUGCCAAAGACCAAUCAAUGAAACAGAUUAUUCCUCAACUUGCAAGCAUAAAUGCUCAGGUUUAAUAGGAAAACAUCUAUUCCUCAUUGGUAUAGUCAUUAAAUAUGCACUUGAAGGGAUGUAAAUUCUGCAAGCUUUAUCUUUGAACAACAGAACAUAACCAUCUUCUAACAAUUGUCCAACACUCAGAAUAUUUUGUGCAAAAGAAGGUACAAACAAAACAUCAAAUAUGUACCUGUGUCCAGUUGAGCUUUGUAUUCGAACCUUCCCUAUACCAUAUGCUUGUAGGUAACCACCAUUCCCUAUUUUGACUCUUGAUCUAUGGUUCUUAUCAAGAUCAACAAACACAGCUUCAAAGAGUGCAAUAUGCCGUGAGCUGCCACUAUCAAGGAGCCAUUCACAGUUACCAAAGUCACUUUCAGAAUUUGACUGAGCCAUGAACAAAACUUCUUUAGCUAAUUCUGAGCUUUCAUUUGUCUGUGCAGGUUUAUCUUCAAUUGUUCUGUUCUUGCACACUUUAUCAGUGUGACCUGAUUGACUACAUAUCUUGCACUUUGCAUCUGGCCUAAACCAGCAGUAGUCAUCAGUAUGAUUCCUUUUCUUACAGAAGGAACAUGGCUUGAACUUGUUUUUCUUGUUUGAAGAUUGACCAGAUUGAGCAAUCUUCUUUUCUUUGUCUUUGUAAUUUUUCUUGGUAAAAGCCUCAGCUUUUGCUUUACCUUUGCCUUUACCAAAAAAGGCUUUCUCCCCAAGAGCUUCAUCUCUUGCUGAUAUCCUCAAUUCUGCAGCUUGCAAGGCACUGACAAUUUCUAUAAUUGAAAUGUCAAAUAGGUCCUUUGAUUAUAACAGGGAUGCUAUUGUCGGUUCAAACUUCCCUGGUACACUGUUGAGAAUCUUCUCAGCUACUCGAGCUUCUUUAAGCUCUUCACCAAACAACUUUAUCUAGUUAGCAAGCUUAAGAAUUUGGUCUAUAUAUUCUUUUAAAGACUGACUCUCCUUCAUUCUCCUCAUGUCAAAAUGCCUUCUCAAGUUCUGUGCUUGCAUAUGUCUUGUUCUAGAGGUCCCAACAUAUUCUUCUUCUAGCUUUGUCCAAGCUGCCUUAGCUAUUUCACACUCCAUGAUUCUGCUGAAAAUAUCCUCAAAAAUAGCAUACUGAAUAAAUGAAAGAGCUCUAAACUUCUUUGCAAUUUCUUCUUCAUAUUGCUUAACUUGAGCAACAGGAGCAUUCUCCCUUGGUGCUUAUGGUUCAGCAUCUUGUUCUACUGCAUUCCACGGGUUAUAACCUUUCAAGUAAGUCUUCAUUUUCACGGCCCAAACUCCAUAAUUGGAGCCAUCGAAGACUGGUGGAGGUUGAUGAGUUAUGUUUGGAGUUGUCAUUAUAACAGGGAACUAAUUCUCGAAACAAGAAGUUAAAGGAGAACCACUAAGAACAUAGGAGUAUUGAAGGAGGUUAUAUAAGGUCCUAUAGGAAUCGGGAGGAGCUCUGAUACCAUGUUAAAGUCAUGGUGUAAAACUAUAAUACAAGAUAAAGAGAAGUAUGGAGAGAACUAAUAAGCUGAUAAGCUGAAGCAGAGUAUUCAUCUUAUUAGCACAUGAUGAUCACACAGUGAUCAUAUAUACAUUACAAAAUGAUAGUGUAGAUGACACAUGUAACAAACCGCUUUCAGGUGUUUUUUUUAGGAUGAAAACAACACAUUAACAUAAAAAAUAUUGACAGCUAGAAGUAUGGAGAUGAUGCUGUCCAAAAAGCCUGCACGUGUCCAUGCAGGGGUUAUCCUCUAACAAGAACUCUCUGGAGGUGGGUUGUUGAGUUUUAUGAUUCAGGUAAGGGGGACAGGAGGGACUCAUUAGGGGACGGGGGCUCGAGGGGGACUUUCGCCUUUCGCUUGUGUUUUAUUUUGAUUGUUUUGGAGACUACGAAAGGGAAGGAGGGGGGGGGGGGGGGGAGGGGCGCGGGUGGAGAGUAGUGUGCUGUGAGUUGAGGAGUUGGAAAUCGCUGGUUCCUAUGCUCGCCUUGCUGAUUCUUUUUUGCUCCGUCCUUCUGGGCAAUGCAGUUUUGUGGUUCAUGUGCAUUCCAUGCUUUGGUGGUGCGUCGCAAGCUCUCCGAGGGCGUCGCCAAGGGACUUUUGUCUUGGGUCGUGGUGACCAUCGAGCUGUUUUUCUGUGAUGUUGCGGUUCUUGUUUCCCUUGUUGGGUCACCUUGCUCCUGAGGCUUUUCUGCUUUGAUGGAUGAGUGGCAGGGAGUCUACGGUGAGUGGUCUCCUUUCCUUGGUGAUCCAGCUGCUCUGGUGAGGUUUCACCCUUGGUCUGGUUUCUUCUGGGCGUUUGGCUUUAGCGGUUUUGUUGGGUCAAUCUCCCAGACGUGGAAUUGGGGGGCUAUCCUGCUAGAUUUGGCUGAUUUGAUGCCCUUCUUCGACAUGUCUGCUUUUCUGUGGUUCUUUCAUGCUGUUUUCUUGUGAAUGAGCCGUGACUCAUUGGAUUUUUUCGUCAACGGGUGCCAACACGAUGGUGCUUUUGGUUCUUAUAUGUGAUCUUGGGUUGGUUUGCCAUCUGCAAUCUGUCCAAAGGGGUUAGGGGAUUUCCUUUGAUUUUUUUCUCGUGUAACGGGGUACACAGGAGGGAUCCGGGUUGUUUUUUCAUUGGAAACCCGCUUUGUCCCAAGGGGGCUGUUUUGCUGGCAUUUAAGUGACAGGUUUCUUAAUUGUACAUAUUUUCCGAGCCAUUACCAUCUUUUUAUGCCAUGGAAAGUCUCCUGUAGCACCUGCGGGAGACUCGAAGAUGACAUAAUGGUAAUGAAGGCAACAAAAGCACCCUCCUUUUAAAAAAAAAAGCAGUACUUAUCUUUAAUUGAUUGCAUAUGGUAUAAUUACUUGUGGAUAAAAUAACAACAUAUAAUUUAUUCAAUAAAAACCUUUUACAAAAGAAACCAACACAACUGCAGAUAAUAACACAAAGCUUAUUGCUGCAUUCGCACAACAAAACAUUUAUUUAUUUAUUUAUUGAUACUAUGAAACAAGCAUCACUCUCGUACCUAAAAUCUUGUUCAAUUAAUUCAACAUGUCGAGCUAAGGCGGAUUCAAUCAUACGACUUUUUUUCUUUGUUUUCCCCUAAAAAAAAAAUCCUCAAGAAGACGACUUUAAGUGAUCAAGCGCGUUAGUUAGGAUUGGUGCUAUGACUCCAAUUAUGGGGGUAUUCUUAAUACUUGUAAUCUGUUCACUGAUGGGAUGACCGGUUUUGCAGGAUGUUGCAAAACCUUCACAAUUGUUACCGAAAAGGUCAUAGCCGCCAAAAUUAUUGUUUACAUGGAACGCCUCGGCAAUCUCCACAACUGUUUCAGGUGGGAAACAAGCGGCAGUGCUGCCGGUGCCAGGCAUUUUCACCAGCUUUUCAAACUUGUGUUCUUCAUACUGGUAAAGAUGAAGCGACUUACUUGAAAAAAGACGGCGUGAUAGGAAGCAAUCAAGGCAGGUUUUGAUGACUCCAAGGUGCACGUUCUUCUGAUAUCCACAUGUUUCACAAAGGGGUUUGUCCUUGGAGGCUCCCUUGUUGCUUUUAGUUUGGAUGAAAUGAAUGACACGACUGUCGCCUACAAAUAUUCCUGCAUACAUUGGGAGCAAGCAUCCGGUGAAUUUGAUAGGUUUAGAAACAAUCUUUAUAGUUUCAACUUUUCUCAUAUAAUACUUGAACCACAAGAGAGUGUAUAAUUAAUAAAAUAAAAAAGAAAGAAAACGGACCAUGAUGGCUGUAAAGACGAAUAAACCUAUAGGCGUAUAUAUGAUCUCCUGUUUUGAGUCUAGAGCUGUCUAUUCUAUGAGUAAACAGUCGCUCGAUUCUCUUCAUUUCUGAAACUUACAAAUUCUUCUCUCUCUGUCUGGUUUAUGCAGGACCUCUGAAAUCUGAGUGGAAAAUAUUAUAUAGGAGUAGCAAACAUGAACAAGAAACCUUGUGGAAAAUAUUGCAUGCAUCCUGUACCGAUAGCAAACAAGGAAAAGAAACCGCGUGGAAAAUAUUGCAUGAAACCGCGUGGAAAAUAUUGCAUGCAUCCUGUACCAAUGACUUGGUUACAUCCUUUGUCACACGUCAGUGCAUCUACGUCAGUGCAUCUACGUCAGUGACUUGGUUAAUCAAAUAUAUUAAUUCAGCGAUUGAUGUAGAGAAGUAAUUUUAAUAUUUAAUAUUUUUUAUUUAGUUUUUAGUAUUUAGUAUUUUUAGGAUUAUUUUAUUUUAUUUUAUUUGAACAACAAGUAAAUAUGGGUUUGAGAAUUUAUUUUUCUUGUACUCUAAGAAAGUCUAAGGUAGCAUACUUCUUUAUUUUAAUUUACUUUAUUUACACUCCAAGUUUAAGUUAAGUAGGAUUAGACUAUUAUAAACAUCAUACUUAGGCUUAGUUAUUAGACAACUUAUUUUUUUGAAUUAUUGAACAAUAUUAUAUUUUCUCUCAAAUUUUGAGUGUAAGUGUAUAUGUUUGAAACUUGGUUGUUAAUUUUAAAGGCUAUGUCGAGUACUAGACUUUGUUUUCACGCUAACUCACUGCAUCAAUUGGUAUCAAAGUAAGAAAAACUUGCCCAAUCUAAUGAUAGGUGACCCAGUUAUAGUAAGCGGCGGUUCUCAUGGUGAAGAUCAUUGGAACCAAGACCUUACGAUCUACAAUGCAAGAUCAAGAGGUGGCAUUGAGAGCUUUGGAGCAACAAAUGGAUCUCAAAUUCCAAUGUUUGGAACAAAGAUUUGAAGAAAUUGUAGAUUGAUUUAAUGCUCUAAGCAUAUAUGCCAACAGAAACCGAGAUGACGAAAGGCCACGUACCAGAGAUAAUGUAGCUCGUGGACUACCUAUCAGUAGACCUAUUUCUACAAAUGGGCAUAGACAACAGGUCUACAUGAAAGAUUUAGAUGAAGAAGAUGAUUAUUUUGCACAACCUAUGAGAUACAAUGGACAUAAUGAUUAUGGUGAUCGAGAUACCAAAGAUUUCAUAUUAAAGGCGGAUAUUCCUUACUUUAAUGGAAAUUUAAACAUUGAAGAAUUUUUGGAUUGGAUUACAAAAAUAGACAGAUUUUUUGAAUUUAUGGAAAUUCCAGAAGGAAAAAGGGUGAGACUUGUCAUUUAUAGAUUAAAAGGUGGAGCUUCUGCAUGGUGGGAAAGGUUAUAGUUCAGAAGAAAUCGUGAAAGGAAAGCACCAAUUAGAACCUAGUACAAGAUGAAGCAACUAUUACAAAAGGAUUUUCUUCCUCCCGAUUAUAAGCAGAUUUUGUUCUAGAAGUACCAAAGAUGCCAUCAAGGUCAGAAAACUGAACAUGAGUAUACUGCGAAAUUUAUGAGAUUGGCAUAAAGGAAUAACUUGAGGGAAACCGGAGGGCAACAAGUUGCUAGAUAUCUUGAAGGGUUAAAGCCAAUUACUAGAGAAAAGAUAAGGAUACAGGUAUUGCAUAAUUUAUUUAAAGCAUGAAAUAUUAAUUUAAAGGCUGAACUGAUGUUGUAGGAAAAGAAUAGACCUAAUUAUUCUCACAAAAGUUACAAUGGGGAUAAUUAUGGGCAUCCAACGAUAAGAAUAAAUCAAUUCAUGAUAGUUCUGCACGCAAUGACCAAUAAAAAAGAAGAAGGUAAUUAGAAAGUAGAAAGUGAUAGAUGCAAAAGAGGGGCAUAAAGCUGCAAAUCCCUAUGUCAAACGAACCCUAGGAAAGUAUUUCAAAUGCAAUCAACUUGGUCACAGAUCCAGUGACUGUCCAUUUAGAAAAGUAGUUCAUAUGGUGGAACAAGGAGAAGAAGAUGAUGAGAUUUGAUGUGAUCCAAAUGGGGAUGAUGACGAGUAUAAGGAUUAUGACGAUGGCCAAAACAAUAUGGUGAGAAGAAUGAUAUUGUCUUCAUAACAGAAGGAUAACACUUAGCGGAAUUUGUUAUUUCGAACCAGGUGCACUAUCACUAACCCUUUAUUUAAUGUGAUUAUUGAUAGUGGUAGUUGUGAGAGUAAUAUUAGUAAAGAUGUUGUGGAGAGUUUGGGUUUUAAAGCUAAAAAGCACCCCAAUCCAUACACUAUUGGUUGGAUUAAGACAGCAUAGAAGAUUCAUAUAACAUAGCAGUGUACAGUACCUUUUUUUCAUUAGUAAAUGCAAGGACAAAAUAUAUUGUGAUAUUGUGGAUAUGGAUGCUUGUCACUUGUUAUUUGGUAGACCUUAACAAUUUGAUGUUGUGGCAUAACACAAUUGGAGAAAAAACACCUACAGAUUGGAAAAGGAUGGCAUAAAGUUUACUUUAUUGCCAAUAAAAGGAAAUGGCACAACCAAAGCUUCUAAAGUGAAGGGGCGAACCUUCUUUACCCUUACUCAUUUACGGAAUUAGAUAGAGGCUACUUUCAAGGAGUCAAAAAAGGUGCAUGUUUUGAUUUUGAAGCAAGUGUUGUUAAUUGAAAAGGAUUAAAAAUAGUAAAGCAUCUAGAAGUAGUUAAUUUGCUAUUUGAAGAAUUUAGUGACGUGAUGCUAGAAAACUUACCUAAUGGUUUACCACCUAUGAGGGAUAUUCAGCACCAUAUUGUUUUGAUUCCUGGUGCUAGUCUACCAAACUUGCCUUGUUAUAGGAUGAGCCUAAAAGAGAUCGAGAUUCUCAAGGAGAAAGUGGAGGAAUUACUGUGUAAAGGACACAUCCAAGAGAGCAUGAGUCCAUGUGCAAUUCCCACCUUACUAACACUAAAGAAGGAUUGCAGUUGGAGGAUGUGUGUGGAUAGCUGAGUCAUCAACAAGAUUACUAUUGGAUACAAGUUUCCAAUUCCUAAGCUAGAUGACAUGCUUGAUAGGUUACAUGGGGCUAAGGUGUUCACUAAGAUUGAUCUUCGUAGUGGAUACCACUAGAUUCGAAUUAGACUUGGGGAUGAGUGGAAAACAACUUUCAAAAUGAAGGAAAAAUUCUAUGAGUGACUCAUAAUGCCAUUUGGGUUUACCAAUGCGCCUAAUGCCUUUAUGCGAUUGAUGAAUCAAGUACUGAAACCUUUUAUUGGAAACUUUGUUAUGGUUUAUUUUGAUGAUAUCUUGAUUUGUAGCUGAUUAAAAGAGGAGCAUCUUUUGCAUUUGCACUUGUCGUUUUUAGUUUGUCCUUUGAGGCUUCCUUGUCACUUUUAGUUUGGAUGAAAUGAAUGACACGAUCUUCACCUACAUAUAUUCCUAAGUGCAUUGGGAGCAAGCAUCUAGUGAAUUUGAUGGGUUUAGAAAGAACCUUGUUGAGAAUUCAUUGAUUCCAAAUGAUGAAGAAGUCAUGGCGCUAGUCAACACCGUUGAAGGACGAAGAAGCAAGCAUACGGUGUCAUUUCUUUAUUUCUUAGUAAAUGAGUUAAACAUAUCGAGUCCUGUCGUUUUGAUGUUUUUCCUUUCAUGGCUUAAAAGCCUUUACCUUGUGUCAUUUUAUUAAGUCAACUUUACUUUUUGUUUUAGCCGUUGAGCAAACCGUUGUAAGGAAUUGAAUUCCAAGUUCUGGACUUCUAUGCUCAACUCAACUUAGCUAAUUUUCCUUUCUUCAAUUCUCGUUUCUCAAAGCUGAUAUACACGGCAUUAGUUGUUACUAUCACAUAUAUACAAAAUGAAAAAGAGUGAUCGAUAUUCUCUUUCAGAUUGUUCUCAUUUUUUUAUUCCUCUUUUUUGUUUUUUCCUCUAUUUUUACUUCUCAUUCUAUUUUCUCUACUUUGCUCAUAUGCUAUUGUGAAUUCAUUUGGUUUUCUUUCAUGGUAUCAAAGCUUUAAAUCGAUCUUAAGGGGUUGUUAUUGCUUUUGGUUCUCAUCUAUUUCAGAUUUCCAAGUUCCAUUCUUUGUUUUUGGUCAUGGCUAUAGUUGCAUUUAGCACCUCUGGUCCUCCAAUGUUUACUAGAGAGAAUUAUGUGUUCUAGUCAAUGAGAUGUAAUCUUAUCUCAAAGCUUUCAAUCUCUAGGAAGUGGUGGAGACUGAGACUAAACUUGUACAAAGGCAUGCUAAUCAAACCCUGGCUCAAAUAAAGCACUUUGUAGAAGACAAGGCAAAGAGGUAGAAGGCUUUUUCUGGCUUACAAUCUGCAAUUUCUAAUGAGAUAUUUGCUACAAUAAUGCACUUAGAUAACCUAAAGGAAGCCUAAAAGCUAGAUCAUGCUACACUACUUCUCAAGAGAAAAAAAAAAGGUCAGUAGCAUAACAUGUUAAUGACAUUAUUAUUUAUACAUAUUAGUUGGACUAUCAAGAGCCCCUCAACUCUAUAAGCUUCGCAUGGUGGAUAACAUCAAAUAUUUUGUUUCUAGUUUCAAACCUACUUCAUGAAUCAGUAGACAAGGUAGGGCUCACUAUUUAGUAUUUACCUUGUAUUAAACAUUUUAAACUUAUUCCAGGAUAGGUGUGAUGCCCAACAUCUCACAUCUGAUGUAAAAGUGAUUGUUAAAACCUAUAUAACAAUCCAAACCCACUACUACUAGUAAGUUGAGCUUAAGCUUUUGAGGGCCACGUGGUUUAGGCCUAAAAAGUUAUUGGGCCAGUGGUUGGACUUGGGUCGUUACAAUAGAAAUGCUUAAUGUUAGAUCACUAGUUUAAGCAGACUCUAAAACUACUUUAAAAACCAUUUCAAUUUAUUUAUAAGCUUAAUCUGAUACUAAUACUAAGUGAGAACUAAGGAGGACCAAGUCUAUAAUCUCUUAUAUGUGAGCAAACUGUUUUUGUUGAUUUCAAUUAUUUUCAAGAUCUAAUAUAGAUUUUAAUGAUGCAGAGACAAAUGAUUUUUCAGGUUAUGUUGUUGUAGCUGGUUGUAACAACAUCAAAGCUGUGGACUGUAGCUUGAGAAUAAGGUGAAAAACAUGGCAGAUGCAGCUCUCCGGAGUAUGAUAAGCAAUGAGCUACGUUCAUAGAUUUUUGAUGAAUAAUAGUAUGCUUUGGAUAAUUAUAUAUCUUUUUGUCAAUGUAUGCUUUAAUUAUAUGACUUUCCCAUGGACUAAUUUGCAAGUUACUUUUUUUUAUUACCUAGAGUAUGGGAGAUGAAAAUAAAAUCAGAGGGUUUAAGCGUAUUACUUGAGAAGUAGCUCAUAAAUACGCUAAGCACAUCCCCAAACCCUCAUACAAAAAAAUUACUACCACCUUGACCUUGUCCUAUGUAUUGUCAGAGUUUGAUACCAACUAUUUACAAUUUUUUUGCUUUGUUAUUCAAAUUAUUAGUGAUUAAAAUUAAAAACAAAGUAUGUCUUAAAAUUUUCAAAUGAAAUUAUUACUCCUUCAUAUUAAAUAUUUGAUUAAUGUUAUAAUUAUGAGCUUACUAUAAAAGUUAUAGGAAUAAGAGGAAGAAAAGAAGUAAUUAAGAAAUGGGGAGAUGGGUUUGCUUUGAGGAAAGUAAAAAUAAAAAAAGAUAAUUAAGUUAUAUUGUACAUAUUAUUGAAUGUUUACAAGAACCAUUCCAUGUUAAGAUGGAAUUGACUGUGCAACUUGAUAUCAGGCAUUAUUAUUUUGCAAGAGCUUAUACAAUUGUUCUGACCUCAAAGGAUGGCUAAAUUUUCCUUAGCAUUCCAAUCCCACAUAGCCCCUUCAAGCUAGUGAAAUAGGCUGAAUUAGGGAGAGAUUAUAAGAUAAUUUCAGUAUUCCAAAUGCAUUAUAAGAUAAUUUUAUUCUCCUUUCCAUUUUAAGAUGCAUGAUUGUUUCACAAAAUAUAUAUAGUAGAUUUAAUUACAGAUUGUUUUCUAAGCAUGAUUAGAUUACGUAUUUUGUAAUGGACAAUUAAUUGAAAGCCCAGUUUCUAUUGAGGACAUUGCAUGUUUUGUCAGCUAUUUAAGUACAUGGUUAGAGGAGCUGCACAAUUUUAAUUAACACAUUGUCUAUACUUUAGAGUGUAACAUGUUUAAUUCUUUACAGUGUCACUUUCCUGCUAUUUGAUAUUUAAUUGUUUAUUUUUAGCUACAAAAAGUGCAUAACAAAGAUUCAUUAUAUAUAUAUAUAUAUAUAUAUGUGAUGUUCAUGAAUCUUUAGACAAGGUAUGAGCUCACUACUUAGUAUGUACCUUGUAUUAUGAACUUUAAAUUUAAUUUUCAGAAUAGAAAUUGAAAUACUUAAUUAUAUAUUAGUAGCUUAAUGAGACUAUAAAACUAAAGUAAUUUGAUAUUGAUCAUAAGUGAGAACUAAAGAGGGGUUUGCAGUCACAGUUUUUGACAUAAGAUUCCUCUGGAUGUUGUUUUUGUUUAGCUGUUGAUUUCACUAAAUUUUGAAAUUGAUUACAGCUUUAACGAUUCAGAGAUAAUUGAUAUAUCAGGUUAACCAUCAUAGCAAUACCACCAUCAAAGUGUUGGGUGUAAAGUUCAUUGGUUGGUUAAUACAUAACUGGAAUGUUGGCUUUGACACUCCUUGAUCUCAUUAAUCUGUCUUACUCCAUUAUUUUUCAAGUAUAAAACUAUAUAUAUAUAAUCAUGGUUUGUCCAAAGAUUUGAAGGUAAUUCUAAAAUGGAAACAAUAUCCCACAAUUCUAAUCAGAUUCAUCCUUAGUGAAUUGUAAUUUACUAGUGUACAGGAAUGAAUAUAUAUUUUAAGGGUAAUUUCAGAGCUUUGUGAUUUUUAACACCAAAUAUCUUAAGAAUGGACAUUGGCAAUUGAGAGAAAUGGACCAUUUAGCAAGAACUGGCUUGGAAAAGCUUGAGAAGUGGUGAUCAAGUCCUCGAAUAAACUUCAAUUCUUAGAUCAGGAAAUACGGCUCUCUCAUCAGCCCCACAACUGCAACACGGCAAAAUAGCAUAAGCAUUCAAUCCAUCAUAAACAGAGAUUAUUUUGGUUGAAAACAAGGAGAUUAUCAUAGUAAAUUACGCUCAAACAGAGAGAUUAUCUUGGUUUGACAUUCCAAAUGAAUUUGGGUGAAUGAAUUUCUUCUUAUUAAACUGUGAGUAGAACUUUUCAACUAUCAUAUUUACUUUUAUGUCGUAAAAUUGUGAAAAACUCAAUAAUUAGAGCUCACUUUAAUGGAUUGCACAAGGCAAAUUUACCACUUGUAUUGAUUUGGUUACUAAGGAGAGGGAUCAUCAUUCUUGCAUCUUGCAUUAUAUUAAUCUAGAUUUUCUUGUUUAACUUUAAUAUCUGAAAUUUAUAAAAACAAAACGGCUAUUCAAGAAUGACUCAAGUAGCUAUCAAAAUGAAAUAAUUGUCACAAGUAGACAAGAGAAUGUUAUAUAUUUCCCACAUUUUUCACAUUUGACCUGUUCUCAAUCUCAAUUUAGACUAUAGAUUUUGACAUUUCAAAACUUCAAUAACAGAGUCUACAGUCUACUAUAACAAUAAUUUUAGUAAUACUUGAAUGUUUGUUAGGAUGAUAGAUACGUAUACUCCUUUAAACUAUAAUAAUAGUAAUUUCAUAAAGUUACACUCUGAUUUUCUCUGUUUUCAAAUUUAUAUUUGUCAUGAUAUAAUAUUUUAUUUUAAAUUGAAUGUUCACUUUUUAAAUGUCACAAAGCUUUAAGAAUAAGAUAUCUUAUUUCACAAGUUUUACCCCUUGUGGCAGUGAAGUGGGGGGGUUCUAUCUAAAGUUAGUAUAUUAUUGAAAGAUAAUAUUGAAAAAGUGUUUUUCAUUUUGAGAAAGUGAACAUUAUUUUGAAAUAUUCAAAAUUGAUAAGAUGGACAUUCAAUUUAUGACAGAAAAUGUCAUGAUUCAAUGAAAUUAUAUGAAGUAAUGUAGAUCCUUUUAAUGCUAUAAUGCAUGAAUGGGAUUUUUUUUUGUACUUUCAUCUCUUUUGACAAAUUUCUCAAUCAAUUAUAUGUGCAAUUUGCAAGUAUCGUGGGAAAAAAUAAUUGGAUUUGUGAGGUACCAUAUUAAAUACGUAGGACAUUAUCUUUCUUCACUAUAUUGUGGACUAUUUGGCUGUUUAGGAAUGAAAUGGUCUCUGAUGGGAUUAGUUGGGAUACCCUUAAAGUGUUGGACAUCAUUAAAAUUAGAACGGCAUGGUGGUUAAAGGCCAAAUGGCCCAUGGAUAAUUUGACAAUCACAGACGUCGUGAGGUCCCCUCACCUUGCUAUUAUUCCUCCCAAAACGGUGAAGAUGACAGUUAAUGCGAUAUGGAAGGAACCUCCAGCCGGGUCGUUGAAAUGUAAUCUGACUGAUAAUGUAAUAAAAUGUGAUAAGAUAUAACUGAUUGUUUUUUUUUUUUUAAUGUGAUAAUGUAAUCUGACUCCAAUUAAAAGAAAACCACUUUAUUUGCUAAAAGGUCUUUAAUGUACAACUAUUCUAUUAUAAACUCAAAUAUUUUAUAAGUAAUUUCAAUAAAACUUAUUUGUCAAAUUUUGGAUUUAGUAAACAUACAAAUGUAAUCCUAUUUUUGGGUUGGGGUAUUACAUGUAGUUACUUGGGUUAUAAAGCCUUCUUCCACUCCCUGGAGGCUUAGAAAUCUGGUACUUAAGAUCAAGGCAAUGCUUCGGAAGGUCCCUAGGUGGCAGAUUCUUCGUAUCCCGAGGUCAGGUAACGUGAUGGCGGAUAAUCUUGCCAAGUUGAGGGUUGAAAGAGUUAAUGACCUGCUGCAAUUCUUGCACUAAAUUUCAAAGGACAACGACUGUUGGUGGUUGGUUGAUGUCUGUGUUUGAGUCUGUAGGUGUUUUGUUUUUGACUCUGAAUUGCAGGAGUAAUAGGGUGUUGAAUAUUUGCUCGAUUGACUUGCAUCUGGUCUUAUGUUUUGAUGCUCAGAAUCAGCAAGAGUUGGGAACAGUGAAUUUGUUCUCAUGUCUUACUUAUUUCUGUCAGUUUUAAUGUCUAUUGUUCUGGCUCUUUUACUCAGCUAUGGCAGGUUUUUUGGGUUCACUUGUAAAUAGGGAAAGAGUUGAGAAAAAAAAAAAAAACUAAGUUGAGGGACGUGGUCCAUGGAGCAAGAUUGACUUAGAAAUGCUUGAAAAGCUAUCACUUCAAGUCUUGAUUUCUUGAUAUUGGUUGAGGAGAUUCAAAUAUUAGUUAACAGUUCUGCAAAUUUAGCUGCAAGAAAUUAAUCAACAGAGUGCUUUCGGGUGAAACAUCCCUUGUUUAAAUAUAUCUUGAUCAACAAUUAUACAUCAAAUCAGUAAUGUGAAGGAAUGCAAAGAAGGUGGACUUUUGAACCACCUUAUUAAAUUUUAAGAGAAAAACAGUGAACAUCUUUGACAAAUCAAUAACCUAGAUCUCACAUUCCGUUAGACUAAGAUCUUGAAUUAAAAUCUCCCCUUGACUUUAUUUCAGAUACGGAAAAUAAUAGGCAAGAUUAAUGGAUUGUCCCUAAUUGUGUUAGAAUUGAGAUUUUCCUACAAGUCUUAAUUCCAAUUGGUAGUUAGAAUUUUACUUGAUGUCUUGUUUUUUGUAUUUAAGUUGACUAACUUAUGAGACAAAAAUACAUAAAUCCCCUUAAAUAUACUUUAAAUUUAAUUUUCGGAAUAGAAAUUGAAAUGCUUAUUUAUAUAUUACUAGCUUAAUGAGACUCUAAAACUAGAUUAAAAGCCAUUCAGUUUACAAGCUUAAUCCGAUGCUGAUCAUAAGAGGAGGUGUUUCUAAUCUUAAUUUCUGACAUGAGCAUAUGAUUCCUCUGGAUGUUAUUUUGUUCGAGCUAUUAAUUUCACUGAUUUUGAAAUUAAUUACAACUUUAAUGAUUCAGAGACAAACAAUUGAUAUAUCAACUUAGCCAUCAUAGCAAUACAUAAGUGGAAUAUUGGCUUUUACACUCCUAGAUUUCAUUAUUCUGUCUUACGCCAUUAUUCUUCAAUUACAAAAAUAUAAAUAUGGAAUCAUGGCUUGUGCAAAUGACCCAAGACUUGAAGGUAAUGCUAAAAUCAAAACAACAUCCAACAAUUCUAAUCAGAUUUAUUCUUAGUGAAUUGCAAUUUACUGGUCUACUAGAAUGAAUAUAUAUCUAUUGAGGGUUUUUUACACUUUGUAAUAAAUUUUUUGUUCAUAAUUUCUGGGCUUUGUGAUUUAAGUGAUGACAAAUAUUAAGUGUUGAAUGUUUACAACAACUUCUACAAAAUUGCUCUGUUCUCAAAAGCAUGGUUGAAUGGAUUUCUGGUUAGGCUCAAUUUGGUAAUUUUCUCAUACGAUUAUAAGCAAGGAGUUUAGUCAAGUUCUGAUGUUAGUGGUGUGGCUUUUUUUAUUAUUAUUUUUGGCAAUUUUUAACACCAAAUAUCCUAGGAAUGGACAUUGGCAAUUGAGAGAAAUGGUCCAUUGAGCAAAGAACUGACUUGGAAAAGCUUGAGAAGUGGUGAUCAAGUCCUUGAAUAAACUUCAAUUCUUAGAUCAGGAAAUGUGGCUUUCUCAUCAGCCUCACUACUGCAACGAGGUAAAAUAGCAUAAGCAUUCAAUUCAUCACAAACAGAGGUUCUGUUGGUUGAAAUCAGGAAGAUAAUCAUAGUAAAAUAUGCUGAAACAGAGAGAUUCUCUUGGUUUGAUAUUCCAAAUGAAUUUAGGUGAAUGAAUUUCUUCUUAUUAAACAGUAGUAGAACUUUUUCAACUAUAAUAUUGACUUUUAAGUUGUAAAGUUGUGAAAAACUCAAUAAUUAGAGCUCACUUUAAUGGAACACAAAAGGCAAAUUUACCACUCGCAGUGAUUUGGUUGCUAGGAGAGCAAUCUUUGUUCUCGCACCUUACAGUUUCAUAGUAUUAAAUUUGGUUAAUAUCAAGAAAUUAAAUUAUUCCCUUCAACAAAAAACAAGGAAAUUGAAUUAAUCAAAUUUUUUUUGGUUAACUUCAAUUUCUAAAAUUUAUAAAAAUAAAACGGUGAUGUCAAGAAGGACUCAAGUAGCUAUCAAAAUGAAAUAAUUGUCACAAGUAAAGAAGAGAAUGUUAUAUUUUCCACACAAGUUUCUCAUUUGACCCAUUCUCGAUCUCAAUUUGGACUAUAGGCUUUGACAUUUCAAAACUUCAAUAACAUAGUUUACAAUCUGCUGUUACAAUAAUUUAAUAAUACUUGAAUGUUCGUUACAAUGAUAGAUAUGUAUACUCCUCUAAAGCUAUAAUAAUAAUUUCAUAGAGCUGCACUCGGAUCUUCUUUUCUUUCGAAUUUGUACUUGUCAUGAUAUAAUAUUAUCUUUAAAUUAAAUGUUCACUUUUAAAUGACACAAAGCUUUAAGAAUAAGAUAUCUUGUUUUAUGAGUUUUACCCCUUGUGACGGUAAAGUUAGAGGGUUUUAUCUAAAGUUAGUAUAUUAUUAAAAGAUAAUAUUGAAAAAGUCUUUUUCAUUUUGAGAAAGUGAACGUUAUUUUGAAAUAUUCAAAAUUGCUAAGAUGGACAUUCAAUUUAUAGCGGGAAAUGUAUAGUGGGGGAAAAAAAAAAUUGGACUAGCGAGCUACCAUAUUAAAUAAGGAGGACAUAUAUAGUCAACAUCAUAUACAAAUCAAUGGCCCAGUAAUAGAUAUCACACGUUCCAUAUCCGCUCUUGACUCGCCAUCGAAAGAACAAAAUGUCCCCAAAAUUAUAAAUACUUAUGGGAAAGAAAAAAGAAAAAUUAUUCUGUAGAGAUGAAAUAUAAAGUUUGAUUGCAGAAAAUAUAGUGUUUAUAUGAUUAAAUAAAUAUUAAGAUAAUUGAAAAUGGGUGAAGAAUGGGUUUUGAUGAAUUUUAAUGUAUAGGUUUCAUAAAAUAAAAUGAAAUAAUUGUCACAAGUAAACAAGAGAAUAUAAUAUUUUCCACACAGCAUCGACACAUCUUUUUCACUUGACCCAUUCUCCAUCUAAAUUUGAAUUAUAAAUGUUGACAUUUCAAAACUUCAAUAAUAAAAUCUACGGUCUAUUGUAAUAAUAAUUUUAAUAAUACUUAAAUGUUUGCUAUGAUGAUUGAAAGUUAUUCUCUUUUAAAGCUAUAAUGAUAAUUUCAUAAAACUGCACUCCAAUCUUCUCUUCUUUUAAAUUGGUACUUAUCAUGAUACGAUAUUCUCUUCUAAAUUAAAUGUCCACUUUUUCAAUUACACAAAAUAUUAAGAAUAAAGUAUCUUAUUUUACAACUUUUAUCCUUGAAGGGACACAAAGGUAGGAAGGUCCUACCUAAAGCUAGUAUUUUAUUAGAAAAUAAAUUAAAAAGUCUUUUUCAUUCUGAGGAAGUGGAUAUUAUUUAAAAUAUUCAAAAAUAAUAAAAUAAACAUUCAAUUUGCGAUGCUUUUUUAUACCUUGAUUCUUAGACAAAGUACUCAAUAUAUAUAAUGUCACGACCCAGAACUCUCAUCGAGCCCGUGACAACCGCCGCGGCGUCCCGAUAAGCACUCAUUACCCCGAAUGCCGAUCGAAGCCCCGCGAGGCUUAGCAUCAACUUUCGCAUCUCCCCGGUGAGCGACAGUUAUUAAAUCUCGCAUUUCAAGAAAACAUAAGUUGUUUCCAACUCAAAAUAAUAAAAUAUUAUUUUCUGGCUCACAGGGGUAUUUUCGUCAUUUUUUUUGAAAAUAUCGAAACUCGCCAAAAACAUGGUGUAAAAACUAAAUAUAUUCCUACGUACUUUAAAUCAAAUAACUGAAGAAUAAAAUUACUUUUUCAGUGACACGUGGGCCCCCAACUGACUAAGAAGAUGUAGGGCUACGAACCCUUNNNNNNNNNNNNNNNNNNNNNNNNNNNNNNNNNNNNNNNNNNNNNNNNNNNNNNNNNNNNNNNNNNNNNNNNNNNNNNNNNNNNNNNNNNNNNNNNNNNNNNNNNNNNNNNNNNNNNNNNNNNNNNNNNNNNNNNNNNNNNNNNNNNNNNNNNNNNNNNNNNNNNNNNNNNNNNNNNNNNNNNNNNNNNNNNNNNNNNNNNNNNNNNNNNNNNNNNNNNNNNNNNNNNNNNNNNNNNNNNNNNNNNNNNNNNNNNNNNNNNNNNNNNNNNNNNNNNNNNNNNNNNNNNNNNNNNNNNNNNNNNNNNNNNNNNNNNNNNNNNNNNNNNNNNNNNNNNNNNNNNNNNNNNNNNNNNNNNNNNNNNNNNNNNNNNNNNNNNNNNNNNNNNNNNNNNNNNNNNNNNNNNNNNNNNNNNNNNNNNNNNNNNNNNNNNNNNNNNNNNNNNNNNNNNNNNNNNNNNNNNNNNNNNNNNNNNNNNNNNNNNNNNNNNNNNNNNNNNNNNNNNNNNNNNNNNNNNNNNNNNNNNNNNNNNNNNNNNNNNNNNNNNNNNNNNNNNNNNNNNNNNNNNNNNNNNNNNNNNNNNNNNNNNNNNNNNNNNNNNNNNNNNNNNNNNNNNNNNNNNNNNNNNNNNNNNNNNNNNNNNNNNNNNNNNNNNNNNNNNNNNNNNNNNNNNNNNNNNNNNNNNNNNNNNNNNNNNNNNNNNNNNNNNNNNNNNNNNNNNNNNNNNNNNNNNNNNNNNNNNNNNNNNNNNNNNNNNNNNNNNNNNNNNNNNNNNNNNNNNNNNNNNNNNNNNNNNNNNNNNNNNNNNNNNNNNNNNNNNNNNNNNNNNNNNNNNNNNNNNNNNNNNNNNNNNNNNNNNNNNNNNNNNNNNNNNNNNNNNNNNNNNNNNNNNNNNNNNNNNNNNNNNNNNNNNNNNNNNNNNNNNNNNNNNNNNNNNNNNNNNNNNNNNNNNNNNNNNNNNNNNNNNNNNNNNNNNNNNNNNNNNNNNNNNNNNNNNNNNNNNNNNNNNNNNNNNNNNNNNNNNNNNNNNNNNNNNNNNNNNNNNNNNNNNNNNNNNNNNNNNNNNNNNNNNNNNNNNNNNNNNNNNNNNNNNNNNNNNNNNNNNNNNNNNNNNNNNNNNNNNNNNNNNNNNNNNNNNNNNNNNNNNNNNNNNNNNNNNNNNNNNNNNNNNNNNNNNNNNNNNNNNNNNNNNNNNNNNNNNNNNNNNNNNNNNNNNNNNNNNNNNNNNNNNNNNNNNNNNNNNNNNNNNNNNNNNNNNNNNNNNNNNNNNNNNNNNNNNNNNNNNNNNNNNNNNNNNNNNNNNNNNNNNNNNNNNNNNNNNNNNNNNNNNNNNNNNNNNNNNNNNNNNNNNNNNNNNNNNNNNNNNNNNNNNNNNNNNNNNNNNNNNNNNNNNNNNNNNNNNNNNNNNNNNNNNNNNNNNNNNNNNNNNNNNNNNNNNNNNNNNNNNNNNNNNNNNNNNNNNNNNNNNNNNNNNNNNNNNNNNNNNNNNNNNNNNNNNNNNNNNNNNNNNNNNNNNNNNNNNNNNNNNNNNNNNNNNNNNNNNNNNNNNNNNNNNNNNNNNNNNNNNNNNNNNNNNNNNNNNNNNNNNNNNNNNNNNNNNNNNNNNNNNNNNNNNNNNNNNNNNNNNNNNNNNNNNNNNNNNNNNNNNNNNNNNNNNNNNNNNNNNNNNNNNNNNNNNNNNNNNNNNNNNNNNNNNNNNNNNNNNNNNNNNNNNNNNNNNNNNNNNNNNNNNNNNNNNNNNNNNNNNNNNNNNNNNNNNNNNNNNNNNNNNNNNNNNNNNNNNNNNNNNNNNNNNNNNNNNNNNNNNNNNNNNNNNNAAAAUUACAUUUUUACCUCAAAAACUGAAAAAUUGCCCAUAGACAUAUUUUUCAUCCCUUAUACUCAUACCAUUCUCCAAUUUGUCAAAUGUGACCUAAAUUCUCUCAAAAUCUCAAAUUUUAUCCGCUGGUGGAGAAAUUACAAUUUUGCCCCUAGAUAGUGAAAAUUCCGGUUUGACUCCAAAUUGAUCCUCGAACUCCUAAUUACCAUUUUGAGUCAUCCUUAAACUGUGGAACUCUUAAUUUCACCUUAAAAUUCCUAUUUGAACUAGUUCGAGGCUUAAUUGACUUAAUGAUACCAUUAGGGGCAAUAUCAUCUUUUAACGAUUUCUUGAACUUCCUAAAUAUACAAACAUUCUAUCGAGCAUGUGAAUGACAUUAUAAUUAUUUUACAAAGCAGGGUUUGACAUAUAAAGUCAACAUCAUAGACAAAUCAAUGGACCACUACUAAUUUGGAUAAUAACAUCAUACAUUCACAUCCCCUCUUGACUUUUAAGUAGUAAAGUUGGCGGAAAACUCAAUAACCCAAUACUCACACUUUGGAAUAUAAGAUAGUAAAUACAAAUGCCUCUUGUCUUGAUGCCAAAAGAAAAAAAAAAAGAUGGUAGGUUAGAAUUAUUGGAUUGAACUAAAUUAGAUAUCCUAAUUAGAGCCCUUUUUAUGGUAUCGUUAAAACUGCCAAAAGCUUGUUGAGCGGUUCCCUAUGGUAAUUGUACAAGUUUCCUAUGUCCAAAUUGGUCUUCUAUGCCAUGAGAGUCUCUAGUCGAUAAAGUUACAGAUUUGUAAUGAUAUACCGGAGGUGAACUUAAUAAAAUUGUUUUGCAAAAAAAAAAAAGUUAAACUCUUUCUAAUGGCCGAUAUUAGUUAACCAUUUUGUAAGUAAGUAACCCACUGCUCACGCUAUGAAAAAUAAGAUAACAAAUGCUAUUCCCCCACUUGACUUGAUUCAGAAAGAGAAAAUGGUAGGUUAGAAUAAUGCAUUGCACUUAAAAAACAAAACAAAAAAACAAAAUCCUAUACUCUGUAAAAUGGAAUGCACAAAGCAAACUUACUACCCAUUGAUUUACAAUUAAAACCAACAAAUCAUCAUUCUUGCAACUCUCUCAGUUUCAUGACCAUCACAAAAAUGUGUUUAAUCUUGAGGGCCUUUCUAUUUCUACUUAUAUUUUUGGGGCUUUGCCUGUGUUUGAAAAUUGCAAAGGGCUUAAACCCAAGUGCCAGAGAAGUGAAGACCCAAGGGUUAGAAUAAGAUAUUUAUGGACUGUGGAUUCAGGAAGAGGGGAAACAUAGCAGACAAAGGUCUUGAAAGGAUGAAAAGUUUGUUGAUGAAUAAUCUACUUCGAAAUCAGCUUCUGGUCUAUGUAUUAUACAAUUUUAUGUGUAAUUGAUGACAUUAUAGACAUCAGUUGUACCUGUUUCAUUAGUUGAAAUAGAUAUUUCAUUGGUCAAAUAAAUUUAUUUGGGUUUUGUGUACUAAAACAUUAUCAGAGUCUAUGAAUUAAUGCUUCAAGGGAUGGGCUGGUUGCCAUAUAAAUAAUUAAUAUGCCAUUAACUCGAAGGAAGUUUAACCAUUUGAGGUUACUUAUUCUUGCAUCUCACUUCCUUGAAUGUCACAGGCUUUUCAUGCUGUAGAAUUAUUGCCCUUAUUAGUGGUCGAGGAAAUGGAGGUUAGUGGCAUUCUGUUUUCUCAAAAGUUUCAAAAUUUUAUAAUUAUAUAUUUGCUUUUUUAAAAUUUUAUAAUUUUAAUUUUAUAAACAUUAAACUUCAAAUAUGAUUAUUUUAUAAAUAUUAUCUUUACUCUUUAAAUGUGAAAUCCUAAUUCCAUCACUGAUAUUUAAUUAAUAUCUAGAUUAGUGGUAGCCGAAAAAAAAGGAUUAUCAUGACAUAUGAUGACGGUAGCAGACUUAUUUUUCUUGUUGAGGAUGGGUAAAAUGAUACUGCAAACGGACGUGUUUGACUCAAGCAAAGGAAGGAAGAAGAAGGGAACAUCAUAUCAGUUCCCUACUUUUGUUUUUUUCAAUAUGAGUUUAAUGUUUGGAACUACGUAUUAAUCAUUAUAGUUCUAACGUAUAUAUGUUAAUUUAAUUUAGUUUUAUAUUCUAACUGUUUUUAUUCGAUCUUGUAGAUACUUCUGCUGUUGUGCAUUGGAAUUACAUGACUUACUCUUAUUAUUCAAAUGUUUACUUUUAUUUCCUCAUGUAAUUAGAAUUCAUGAAUAUUUUUGUAAAUGAUAGGUAAAAUAAUGGAUUGCACUUAUAACAUAAAACAAAAUACUAUUUGAGCUCUAUAUAAUGAAAUGCACGAAGCAGACAUAUGCCAAUUGUCAUACAUAGUCAAAUUAGGACACUUGCUUAACAAACUUAAUUUAAUUGAUUUCUAUAAACAUAUAGUGAAUUAAUUAAGUUAGGUAUUUGUACAAGCAUCUCGAUGGAGACUUAUCCAUAGCUUUGGAUUCUAGAUUAGAAAAAUCACUCAGGAAAGAUAAAUAACAAGAAAAGCUAGUAUCAAAUGAAAUGUUGAAUAAACCCAUGAUCUUAGGUCUUUAAUCUAUUGCUUUUCUCAACAUAUUUAGUUUUUCCUAGUUAAUUUAUUGUUUAUUUUUAAAUUUUGUUUUGGAUUAGCUUUUCAAUUUUCAGAUUGCUUAAAUAAGAUUAAUUUGUUAUAUAAUUUUAAUACUUAGUGAAACUUUAGAAACAAAUCUCUAUGGGAAUAAUACUCUACUUCAUCACUAUAUUACUUGUUCAAUACGUAUACUUUCGUAGAGUACAUUUCUACCCAUAAAAAUAAUUGCAUGUCUUCCUUUGAAAACAGUCAUGAUUUUAUCAUUUAAUAAUUAUCAUGAAAGUGUGAAGCUCAAAUUCCGUUGUUAGCACCAUAACUUGACCAACCAAUUGUCAAGAAAGUGUGGAGUUUCAAAUUCCACUGUUAGCACCACAAAUGCACCAACCAAAAUGCUAGAGAGAGAAGACCUUGACUUGCCAACAAGGAGGAUUUACAUUGGGGGUAACUAUUCCGCUAACUGAAAUUCAAAAAUUUAGUGGAAGAGAGAUCUUAAAGAGAAAGAUUUUAGAGUAAAAUGUAUCAAACAUGCAUGACAUAAAUUUCAAUAAUUUUAAAUUUUAAUUUUUGAUUUAUGACUUCUUAUUAUUUCAAAGUUAUUCAUUCUAUCAAUUACAUUUAAAAAUUAGUAAAAUAUACUAUCUCAAAAUUACAUGGCAUAAAUCUCAAUAAAAAAAAUCAAAUGACACCACAAUUGCACCAACUAAAUAUGUUCCAUGUAACUUCCUGUGACGCUCUUUGUAAGGUUGUAGAUGUAACAGCAAGUUAUACUAAUUAAUAAAUAUUGAUUCCUUAAAAGCAAUUGAGAGUAAUUUCUUAAAUAAUGUUGGUCAGCAUUAGCCCAAUCCUAAUACAAAAGUUCUUGUAAGAUUUCAACUUACUUCACCUGUAAGGUUUGUAAAUUAUUUUAUAGCCAACAAACACGUAACAUGAAGAAAGUUUUAAUUUGUGGAAAAUCAAUUCUUAUUCUUAGAUAUCAUAUGGCAGAUAGUGAAGGUGGCAUUUGAUAAUUUACUAAGAAUGUGAUUGUUGAUAAUUUAAUUAUUCAAAACAUGAUUGUUGGUUCGAUAAUACACGUGAUCUGUAUAUGACUUAAUCAGAUGACAAUAUAUUAUAGGAUCCAUUUGACUUAAUUUGCAAGUCUACCAAUCAAUAAGUGAACUUUUUUUAAAUUAAAUUUAAAAUCAUUAUCAUUAAUUAAAGAUUAAUUAAUUAUCAUUUGACGUGGUCCAUGGAGCAAGACAUACUUGGAAAUGCUUGAAAGGCUGUCACAUAAAGUCCUUGAAGAAACUUGAUGGUGGUUGAGGAAACCAGCAAUGUCCUCUCUUAGCACCACAACUGCAACACAGUAAAGCAACAUUCCAUACGUCCAAUGCCCCUUCAAAUGGAUUAUCCUUUGAAACCAAGUGGAAAGGCAUUGCAUUCAGUGUUGAAGACGGUAUCGUUUACCAAGACUUAAUGUGGAAAAAAUGGCAACAAAUUAAUUAACUAAAAUGGAGAUUCAAAUACUAAUUAACAAAUUCUGUAAAUUUAGCUGAAAGAAUAAAUGCUUGAAAGGUUGUUACAUAAAGUCCUUGAAGGAACUUGAUUACUUGAUAUUGGUUUACAGAAUUGCUCUGUUCUCAAAACCAUGGCUGAAUGGACUUUUGGUAAUUUUCUCAGACGAUUAUAAGCUUGAGAAGUGGUGAUCAAGUCCUUGAAUAAACUUCAAUUCUUAGAUCAGGAAAUAUGGCUUUCUCAUCAUCACAAGAAGAGAUUAUCUUGGUUGAAAACAGAGAGAUAAUCAUAGUAAAAGAGGCUGAAAUAAAGAGAUUAUUUUGGUUUGAUAUUCCAAAUAAAUUUGGGUGAAUGAAUUUUUUCUUAUUAAACUGUAAGUAGAACUUUUCAACUACAUAUUUACUUUUAAGUAGUAAAGUUGCAAAAAACUCAACAAUUAGAGCUCACUUUAAUGGAUUGCACAAGACAAAUUUGCUGCUCGCAUUGAUUUGGUUCCUAAGGAGAGUAAUAAUCAUUCUCACAUCUUACAGUUUCAUAAUAUUAAAUAUAGUUAUUAUUAAGAAAUUGAAGUAAUCUAGAUUUUUUUGUUUAACUUCAAUUUCCAAAAUUUAUAAAAAAAAAACAAUUGUGUCCAAAAUGACUCAAAAUGAAAUAAUUGUCACAAAUGGAUAAGAGAAUGUUAUAUACUUUUUUCUCAUUUGAUCCAUUCUUGAUCUCAAUUUGAACUAUAGACUUUGACAUUUCAAAACUUCAACAAUCGAGUCUACAGUCUACUAUAACAAUAAUUUUAAGAAUAUGAGGGUUUCCUUGAAGCCUUUUUGAACUUGAGCAGUGCCUGCCUCUCAGCUUCAAUGCAACUGGCAUUAAGGUCAGUCUAGCAGAAACCAAUUGAAUGGUUUUGGAGUACAGAAUUCCUGAUAUCAGUACUAUAAGAGAAAGAAGUUGAAUGGAGGCUUUGUGAUGAUUCGUGUUUAAGGACCAUAUGCCAGACUAUUCCAAGAGGAAUGCGUGAACUGAAAAGCCCUUGGAAACAAUCUAAUAUGAACUGGAAAGUCUCUUGGAAACUGUAACUUUUGUUUUCUUCACUUUAUUUUAUUCUUCUGAUGUGAUUUUUCUUUCUUUUUGUUUGGGUAUCUGUAUAGUCAAUGUUUAUUUUCUACUACCAUAAUUUACUCUUUCAAUCUCCCAUGCAUUUACGUGUAAUUCAAGUAUCUUGAUUAAACAUAUAAAUGUUUCUUCAUUAAUGAGGUGAAAUAUACAAGUAGCAUUCAGUUGAUGAGACUAUUUUCCUGGGGAGUUAGGAUUAAUUCAAGUUCCUAUUAAUUGUGAUAAAGUGAGGUCUCCAUGAGGAAAUUUUAGACUAAAUAAACUAUUUUAAAAUUUUCUUUGUUUUGUUCUUUUAAAGCAAGGGCUUCCUACUUCUUUUGGAUAAUAACAUCUAUCAGUUAUUCAAAAUAUAUAAUAUAUUAAUAAAAUCUAUUAUGGCUAUAUAUUAUUUAUAUACAUAAAUAUAUAUAGAAGUUCGUAUAUUGGAAAAUUUUUUGAUUAACGAAAAUAGAUUCUUUUACUCAUUAUAUUUUAAAUUAUUAUUGUAAUAUUUUUAAUGAAAAUUAAUAAAAUUUUUCUAAUUUGUAAAUAAGAAUGUUAAUUAUAUCAAAUGGUUUUUAUUAUAAAUAUUAAUAAUAGGAUUUAUCCAUUUUGAAAUGAAAAUUCUAAUUUUGUUAAAUGACUUUCAUUAAAUUUUUUUCUUAAUUCAAAAAAAUGGAAUAAUUAGUAAAUUAAUAUUAAAAGUGAAUUUAUUUCACAAACUUUGAAACUCACCGGUAACUACACCACUAGAAAACUUCGCCAUUGUGUAAGUAUUUCGUACUCUUUUUAGUUUUUAUUUCUUUGUUCUAACUUUUAAACCUGUAGUUAGGGUUUUAGAGUUUUUUUUCUAAAUUAGAAUUCUGAAUUUGUUCGAUUAAUGUUUUAAGCAUACUUGUAUUAUUGGAGAUUAAGAUAAACAGUUGUAGAAUAUAGGGUAACAAUAUUAUGUAAAGAUCCUAUCAAUAUAAAAUAGUUACUAAUUUCUAGUAGUAUCUGUCUUUUAUAUAUAAAAUGAAUGGUUGUUAAAUUCAGUUGAUUUGUUUAUUCAAUGAUGACUGUGUGCUAUGUGUAUUGAGAAAUGAGUAGAUCUUUUUGACUAUUUAAUUUUAUUCAAUAAAUUGGAUGGAUAUUUAUUGAAAUUUAAACAUUUAUGUAUAAAAGAUAUGUUUAAAUACUAUAGAUUCAGAUUCACGUAGAAUUAGAGGAUAUAGACAAAAAAUAAUAUUUAAUUACAAUUGAUAAAUAAUAAAUAAAUCUAUCUUCUAAACAUUAACAAUUAGAAAUUAUUAUUUUCAAGUAUUUUUAUUGAAAUAAAUAAAUAUAAAAAAAACCUUCAAAUGUUAAAAACAACGUAAUUUUGAUGUAAGGUGUACAAAAAAAUAAUUCAAUUGAGAAUGACAGAUAUUAACUAAUUAAUCCAAUCAGUUAUCUUACUUUUAUAUAUAUUAUAGAUAUUUAUAUAAUAUAUACAUAUAUAUAUAUAUAUAUAUAUAUAUAUAUAUAUGUUAUUGAGUUACUAGCGAGCGGUGUACAAUCACUAUUGAAAAUUCAAAUAGCCAUAACCUUGUCUCAAAUUUGCUGUUAAAUGCAUUGGCAAAGCUUCGGUUAAAGAAGUACGUAUGAUUUUAUCUAAUUAUUUCAUGCUUUGUAGAAGUUAAUAUUGCAUAAGUGGACACCAACGGAGUCAAGAGAUUAUAGGUGGUGGUGAUCGUUAGUCCUCAAUUUUUUAAGUUUUUUAUUAUAUAUAGCAUGAUUAUUUUUAUAAUUACUCUUUAUCCACCUCUCAUGUAAAAUUUUAGAUUUGUCAUCGUAAGUGGAUAUGAAAUUUCUUUAGAACUGAGAUAACUCCAAUAUACAUUUAUUUCACUCAAUGUAACUCAAGAAAAUAUUCUUUGGACAAAUCGAUUUCACUGUGGAACAAAGAGACCAAUUCUUCCACCUAGGGUUAUUUGCUUCUCUAAUGGUAAAGUGAAAAAUUAGAGCCUGUUAUGAUGUUUGUUCACUAAUUAAUUUGCUUGACUUUUUUCACUCUUUAUUCAACUUGAGGCUUCAUUCCUUUUUCAUAGAAGGGAUACAAGUGACAGAGUCAGAAUUUUGCGUUUGGGGAGGGCAAAUAAAAGGUGGAUCAAUCAUGGAGUCUUGGAGUUGUGGAGCUUGAGGAAUAAUUCUAUUACAAUAAGAUUUACUUUAAUCUCUAAAUCUACUAAAAUCAGUUGUUGGCUAAUUGCUAUAGGACAUCUCAUCAAAUAAAAAAUUUAUUAUAGAAAUAAAACUAUAAAAUUCAAAAAAUAUAUAUAUUAUGAAAUUUUAAAACUCUUUAAGGGGACGGGAGCUCUACUAACCCUUAUUCUCUCUGCCACCGGAUAACUUUAGAUGGAACGAGAUGCAUGCUUGUUUCAAUUAAGUUCAAAGUUUAGUUGGACACUACAUUGGAGAACUAUUUUUAGAUAGACUAGAUGGAUGACCUAAAUCCAAAGACAGACUGCUUUCCAAGAUAUUUACAAUUACCAAGAGGAAAAAAGAUUAAGGAAGGUUCAAUGGAUACUUCCUAGUGACUUUUUAUAUGCAAAGAAGAAUGAUGUUAUAAAGACAAAAGUCUAAAAGAAAUGUGAAAGGGGUGGGUACAUGAUAUACUAAAAUCCAAAAUAGAAAAAAGUAGCAAGGAAAAGUCAAAAGUUUCACAUAUGAUUGGGUUCGAAAUUGAGAUUACAAUAACUUUGUAGACAAAACAUGAUGCAUGCCGCGUUGCUUUUCUACUCUGCAGAAAAAGUAGAAAGGAAUAUUUUUGUAAAUGAUAGGUAAAAAUAAUGGAUUGCACUUAAAAAAUAAAACAAAAUAAAUACUAUUUGAGCUCUAUAUAAUGGAAUGCACAAAGCAAAUUUACUGUUCAUUGCAAUUAAAACCAACAAAUAUCCUUUUUUGAAUCUUAUAGUUUCAUGACCAUCACAAGAAUGUGUUUAAUGCCAAGAUCCUUUCUAAUUCUACUUAUUUUUUUUGGGCUUUUCCAGUACAUGAAAAUUGCAAAUGGCUUAAACCCAAGUGCUCGAGAAGAGAAGAUCCAAUGCAUAGAGAAGGAGAGACAAGCUCUACUUAUGGUCAAGCAAAGCCUCAUCGAUGAUUAUGGUCAUCUCUUGUCUUGGGGAAAUGAAGAUGGAAAAAAAGAUUGUUGUCUAUGGAGAGGUGUCCAAUGUAGCAAUAGAACACGCCAUGUAAUCAUGCUUGAUUUGGUGCAUGACAAUCCUUUAAGAGGUAAGAUCAAUCCUUCCUUGCUUGAACUGCGGCAGUUAAGAUAUUUAGACCUCAGGUUCAAUCAAUUUGAAGGAAUUAUGUUCCCGAAUUUAAAUGGCUCACUGAGUAAGUUAAGAUACUUAAGUCUCGCAUGUGCUGGAUUAAGUUCAACAACACUCAAUCAGCUUGGGAAUUUGACAGAAUUGCAGUUCCUUGAUCUUAGCUUCAAUGAUUACAAUAUUUCCAACCUUGAUUGUCUUCAUGGUCUUUCUUCUUUAAGACAUCUUGACCUUAGUUGGAACAACCUUACUGAUGCUAAGGAUUGGCCACAGCUACUCAACAUGCUUCCUUACCUAGAAGACUUAAAGUUGAGUGGAUGUCAUCUUCCGAGCAUCCUUUUUCCACCUUCCCUCACUAAUUCCACGUCAUCGCCACUUUCCAUUGAUCUCUCUUCUAACGAUCUUACUUCUUCCAUGUACCCGUUGUUGCUCAAUAUUACCAGCACUAUUGUUGAUCUUGACCUUGGUUAUAACUGGUUAAGUGGCUCAAUUCCAGACUUUUAAAGGAAUAUGAUUUCUCUUAAACAUCUUUCUCUCUGGCACAAUAACCUUGAAGGUGAUAUUCCGAAAUUCCUUGGGAACAUAUGUACUAUUGAAACCUUAUCUCUGGCAAUCAACAACUUCAAUGGAUCAAUUAUUCCUGGAUAUUUUGGGUGCUUGGAAAAUUCAUUGCAGUUGUUGGACCUAUUUGCAAAUAGCUUUCAUGGUCCGUUAGUGUUACCUUAUAUUGCAAGAUUUUCUUCCUGAAGAGUGCUUGAUCUCAGAUAUAAUAGAUUAACUGGCUUUUUGUCUGAGACCUUUAAUUUUAAACAACCUUCCAAGCUUACUGACUUGUAUUUGUCAAGUAACCAACUUAAAGGGUCGUUACCUGAUUUCACAAUAUUUUCAUCCUUGGAAGAAUUAUCUAUUGAUAAUAACCAAUUGAACGGUAUUGUCCCUGAAAGUUUGGGAUGCCUAUCCGAGCUUGAGUAUUUGGAUUUUUCUCGAAAUUCUUUGGAAGGUGUGAUAUCUGAAACUCAUUUCAAAAAUCUCUCCAAAUUAAGGUUUCUCGACUUGUCGUUUAACCAUUUGGUUGUGAAUCUUAGCUCUGGUUGGGUUCGUCCUUUUCAGUUACAUCAAAUUUAUCUAUCAUUUUGCAAACUGGGGCCUUACUUCAAGAGCUUGAUAUCUCUGGUGCUGGAAUUUCGGAUACUAUCCCUGAUUGGUUUUGGGACUUACCUCCUAUUUAUCUUUCUUAAACCUCUCUCAUAACCAGAUGACUGGCAUGCUACCAGACUUAUCAUCACUCAAGUUUAAGGAAUUUUUUGGAAUGGAUUUAAGUUUUAACAUGUUUGAGGGUCCGUUGCCAGUGCUUCCUUAUAACAUGACAUCAAUAAUUCUUGCGAAAAAUAGGUUUUCAGGAUCAGUUUCUUCAUUAUGUAAGGUUGCAGCUGGGACUUUGAGCAUUCUUGAUCUUUCUGAUAACCUAUUGAGUGGAGUGCUUCCUGAUUGCUUUUUUCACUGGCAAAACCUUAUUGUUUUGAAUUUAGCAAAUAACAACUUCUCAGGGGUUAUUCCAACAACUGCGGGAUCGUUGUUGUCAAUUGAAACAAUUAAUUUGCGCAAUAAUAGCUUCUCUGGAGACUUACCUUCUUCUUUGAAGAACUGCAAUCAGUUGGCAUUUUUGGACUUAAGCCAGAAUACGUUUUCUGGAAGUAUAGCGGCCUGGAUAGGAGAAAACUUGUUAUCUUUGAUUUUUUUGAGUCUACAAGCUAAUGAAUUUUAUGGGAGGAUACCUUCCAAUUUAUGCCAAUUAGCAAAUAUACGGAUUCUGGACCUCUCCCAAAACUCUCUCUCUGAAUCAAUACCAUUGUGCCUUAAUAAUUUGACUGCCAUGGUUCAAAAAGGAGAUCCAAACGAUAUUAUCCAACAAUACUAUAAUUCUUCAAGGCAAGAUAUUCGUUCCAAUGGCGACUGUUAUAUUGCGAAGGCAUGGGUUGGAUGGAAAGGAAAAAAGUUAUGAGUAUGAAAGAAGCCUUGGACUGUUUAGGAUCAUUGAUCUUGCAAGUAAUAAAUUGGAUGGAGAAAUUCCAGAUGAGAUAACAAGACUUUCUGAAUUGGUUGCAUUGAAGUUAUCGAGGAAUAAUUUGAUUGGGUUUAUUCCUGAAAACAUUGGUCAGUUGAAACAAUUAGAAUCACUUGAUUUGUCAAACAACCAAUUGUCAGGGCGAAUUCCUAACAGCAUGGCUGAUCUAAAUUUUUUGAGUUACUUGAACCUCUCAUAUAAUAACUUUUCAGGAAAAAUUCCAUUGGGUACUCAACUCCAGUCCCUUGAUGCUUCAGCCUUUAUUGGUAAUCAAGCACUAUAUGGGCCUCCAAUUACACAACAGUGCCCCAAAAAUAAGACGGUUCAAGCUCAGCCACCAGAAGAAGAGAGAGAUGAAUUCAAUAGAUGGUUAUAUGCUGGAAUGGGAAUCGGAUUCUUCAUGGCAUUCUGGGGAGUUAUUGGCACUCUACUGUUGAAGCGUUCUUGGAGGCAUGCAUAUUUUCGACUCUUGGAUAACUGGACGGACUCACUGUACGUGACAUUCAUGCUGUGGAGUGCAAGAUUGGAAAGGAAGUUCAAAAGUUAGAGACUACUAAGUUUCUACAAAAGGUUAGCAAACUUAACGUUUUUAUAGAAAUAAAUGUAUUUAUACAUGUUUUAUUGUCUCUAUAAAAGCACUCAACCAAGCUCAUCAUGGUGGAUGAUAUUUAACAAAUGGUUUAAAUUUCGAACAUGUUCAGGCAGAAUUCUACUUCAUGAAUCUGUAGACUAGGUAUAUACAUUAAAGUUCAAUUUUUAAUUAAAACCAUUCUAUUUAUAAGUUUUAUCUAAUAGCAAGAAUAAAUGAGAACUAUCUUGGAAUUCAUACUCUCUGAUGUGAAUUCUGUCCUUCUUCUAAAUGUUGAUUUCACUACUUUAUGAGAAAGUGUUAUAGAAUUAAUGACUUAGACACAAUUGAUUUGUCAGGUUAACUAUCAUAGUUGUAGCAAUAUAAGAGUUGUGAACUAUGGAUUCAAAAAGAUAAAGAACGUGGCACGCAGACAUAGCUCCAGAUUGGAAUGACACGCAUUGUCUGCUGAUGAAUAGUCUACUUUUUCUUCUGUUUUGAGAAGGAUGAAUAAAUAUGCUUUGAAAUUAUCUUCUUGUCUAUGUAUGCUUAUCUACUUGUUGAUGGACAAAUUCUGAAGAAAACUUUGCUCAAAGUUUUUAGUUUGUUUUAAGACAUUACAUGUUCUUCUCUUAUAACCGGGAUUUUCACGGUUUACAGAAUUGCUCUGUUCUCAAAACCAUGGCUGAAUGGAUUUUUGGUUAAGCUCAAUUUGGUAAUUUUCUCAGACGAUUAUAAGUUUGAGAAGUGGUGAUCAAGUCCUUGAAUAAACUUCAAUUCUUAGAUCAGGAAAUAUUGCUUUCUCAUCAUCACAAGAAGAGAUUAUCUUGGUUGAAAACAGAGAGAUUAUCAUAGUAAAAUAGGCUGAAACACAGAGAUUAUCUUGGUUUGAUAUUCCAAAUAAAUUUGGGUGAAUGAAUUUCUUCUUAUUAUACUGUAAGUAGAAAUUUUCAACUAUCAUAUUUACUUUUAAGUAGUAAAGUUGUGGAAAACUCAAUAAUUAGAGCUCGUUUUAAUGGAUUCCACAAGGCAAAUUUUCCACUAGCAUUGAUUUGGUUACUAAGGAGAGGAAUCAUGAUUCUCGCAUCUUACAUUAUCAUGAUAUUAAAUUUAGUUAAUAGUAAGGAAUUGAAUUAAUCUAGAUUUUCUUGUUUAACUACAAUUUCUAAAAUUUAUAAAAACAAAACGAUAGUAUCAAGAAUGAUUCAAGUAGUUAUCAAAAUGAAAUAAUUCUCAUAAGUAGACAAGAGAAUGUUAUAUUUUUCACACAUUUUUCCCAUUUGACCUAUUCUCAAUUUAAAUUUGGACUAUAGGCUUUGACAUUUCAAAACUUCAAUAACAGAGUCUACAGUCUACUGUAACAAUAAUUUUAAUACUACUUGAAUGUUCAUUAGGAUGAUAGAUUCAUAUACUCCUUUAAAGCUAUAAUAAUAAUUUCAGAAAGCUGCAGUCGGAUCUUCUCUUCUUUGAAAUUUGUACUUAUCAUGAUAUAAUUUUUUUUUUUAAAUUGAAUGUUCACCUUCUAAAUGACACAUAGCUUUAAGAAUAAGAUAUCUCACUACAACAUAUUUUACUUUUUAAUGCAUAAUUUUAGCUGCAAUUAUUUUAAUGUAACUAAACUCUUCUUGUAAUAUUUAAUACAUUUUUAUUUAACUGCACCAUUUGAAGUGUAAUCACUUAAAGUAAAUUAAAAUAGAUUUAUAUUAAAAUAAAUUAAAAGAGACUUGAUAAGAAAAAGAAAAGCUCACAAAAUAAAAACAGCUAUGGCCCAUAUAAUUAUUUUAUUAAGAUAGCCCAAGUAAAUAAUAUGCCUUUUCUGAGUCUUAACAAUUCUUUUUUCUUAUGGCUCGACUCUUCCUCUCUCUUACAUCAACACUUCUCUCUUCAUUUCUUACCAAACCAUUUAUAUAUAAAAUAUGGGUAUUCAUGUGAUAGUUGUUGUUAAUUUUCAGGUUAAAGAAGAAACCAGGAAGGAACCUUUGGGGUCCUUGGGAGUGGAGAAAGAAUCAUGUGGUCGUGUGGGGUUAAUUUGAUUAAAUUAAUGCCCCCUAUGCCUUGGUGCUCUUUUGUCUUUUGUACAGAAAGUGGAUCACCAUUAAUAUAUGGUACUAGUUUUACCCUUUAUUGAGUUUGAAUAAUUUAAUUAUAAUUAUUUAUGUUUAAUUUCAGUUUGAAUGUAAGUAGCAAAUAUCUCAAAAUUUAGAGAAUUCUGAGGAUCUUGAAGCUCAAACUAAAAUCUUUGCUCAUGUAAUGGGGCACAACAAAGCUGGCCAUGUGUCUCUUUACGGAAGAGGUGUGACUGCUUCAUAUCUAAAGAAAAAAUCACCUUCAUUCUAUUUCAUGGAUGCCCAGAGAAUGAUUGAAAAUGCUAGAAGAGUUGCUACGGAUGAGAUGAAAGAAGUGAAAGAUAAGUUAGAAGAGGAGAUCAGUUGUUGGCUAAUUGCUAUAGGACAUCUUAUCAGAUAAAAAAAUUAUUAUAGGAGUAAAACUCUAAAAUUUUAAAAAUAUAUAUAUUAUGAAAUUUUAAAACUGAGACGGGGACUCUACUAACCCUCAUUCUUUCCGUCACUGGAUAACUUUAGAUGGAACAGCUGCAUGCUUGUUUCAAUUAAGUUCAAAGUUUAGUUGAAAACUACAUUGGAGAACCAUCCUUAAACAGACUGGAUGGAUGACCUAAAUCCAAAGACAGAUUGCUUUCCAAGAUAAUUACAAUUACCAAGACAAAAAAGAUUAAGGAAGGUUCAAUGGAUACUUCCUAGUGACUUUUUAUAUAUAAAGAAGAAUGGUGUUAGAGAGACAAAGUCUAGAAGAAAUGUGAAAAGAGUGGGUACAUGAUACACUAAAAUCCAAAAUAGAUAAAAGUAGCAAGGAAAAGUCAAAAGUUUCACAUAUAUGUGGGUCCGAAAUUGAGAUUGCAGUAACUUUGCAGACAAAACAUGAUGCAUGCUGCGUUGCUUUUCUAGUUUGCAGAAAAAGUAGCAAGGAAUAUUUUUGUAAAUGAUAGGUAAAAAUAAUGGAUUGCACUUACAAAAUAAAACAAAAUAAAUACUAUUUGAGCUCUAUAUAAUGGAAUGCACAAAGCAAAUUUACUACUCAUUGCAAUUAAAACCAACAAAUCAUCCUUUUUUGAAUCUUAUAGUUUCAUGACCAUCACAAGAAUGUGUUUAAUGCUGAGGUCCUUUCUAUUUCUAUUUCUUUUUUUUGGGCUUUGCCAGUACAUGAAAAUUGCAAAUGGCUUAAACCCAAGUGCCAGAGAAGAGAAGAUCCAAUGCAUAGAGAAGGAGAGACAAGCUCUACUUAUGGUCAAGCAAAGCCUCAUCGAUGAUUAUGGUCAUCUCUCGUCUUGGAGAAAUGAAGGUGGAAAAAAAGAUUGUUGUCUAUGGAGAGGUGUCCGAUGUAGCAAUAGAACACGCCACGUGAUCAUGCUCGAUCUGAGUAAACCUUUCACCUACCCUUUAAGAGGUAAGAUCAAUCCUUCCUUGCUUGAACUGCGGCAGUUAAGAUAUUUAGACCUCAGUGACAAUCAAUUUGAAGGAAGUAUGUUCCCGAAUUUAAAUGGCUCACUGAGUAAGUUAAGAUACUUAAAUCUCAAUAAUGCUGGAUUAAGUUCAACACCACUCAAUCAACUUGGGAAUUUGUCAGAAUUGCAGUUCCUUGAUCUUAGCUUCAAUGAUUACAAUAUUUCCAACCUUGAUUGGCUUCAUGGUCUUUCUUCUUUAAGACAUCUUGACCUUAGUUGGAACAACCUUACUGAUGCUAAGGAUUGGCCGCAACUACUCAACAUGCUUCCUUACCUAGAAGACUUAAAGUUGAGUGAGUGUCAUCUUCCGAGAAUCCUUUUUCCACCUUCCCUCACUAAUUCCACUUCAUCGCCACUUUCCAUUGAUCUCUCUUCUAACGAGCUUACUUCUUCCAUUUACCCGCUGUUGUUCAAUAUCACCAGCCAAAUUGUUGAUCUUAACCUAAAUGAUAACACGUUAGCUGGCUCAAUUCCGGACUUUUUCAGGAAAAUGAUUUCUCUUAAACAUCUUUCUCUCUGGGACAAUAACCUUGAAGGUGAUAUUCCGAAAUUCCUUGGGAACAUAUGUACUAUUGAAACCUUAUCCCUUCCAUUCAACAACUUCAGUGGAUCAAUUAUUCCUGGGUAUUUUGGGUGCUUAGAAAAUUCAUUGCAGGUUUUGGACCUAUUUGCAAAUAGCUUUCAUGGUCAGUUAAUGUUACCUUAUGUUGCAAGAUUUUCUUCCUCAAGAGUGCUUGAUAUCUCAGAUAAUAGAUUAAAUGGUGUUUUGUCAAAGACCUUUAACUUUAAACAACCUUCCAAGCUUAUUGUCUUGUUUUUGUCAAGCAACCAACUUAAAGGGACGUUACCGGAUUUCACAAUAUUUUCAUCCUUGAAAGCAUUAUCUAUUCAUAAUAACCAAUUGAACGGAAUUGUCCCUGAAAGUUUGGGAUGCCUAUCCCAGCUUGAGUAUUUGGAUUUUUCUGGAAAUUCUUUGGAAGGUGUGAUAUCUGAAACUCAUUUCAAAAAUCUUUCCAAAUUAAGGUUUCUUUACUUGUCGUUCAACCAUUUGGUUGUGAAUUUUAGCUCCGGUUGGGUUCCUCCUUUUCAGUUAGAUCAAAUUUAUCUAUCAUUUUGCAAAUUGGGGCCUCACUUCCCAAAAUGGCUUCAAACUCAAAAAGAAUUUCAACAUCUUGAUGUCUCUGGUGCUGGAAUUUCGGAUACCAUCCCUGAUUGGUUUUGGGACUUACCUCCAUAUUUAUCUUUCUUAAACCUCUCUCAUAACCAGAUAACUGGCAUGCUACCAGACUUAUCAUC